GAAGUUCCAUCGAACUUCCUCUUUUCACCAACCUCUAUCCUCUCCAGACCCUUUUCCUUCUGUUGGGCCUUCACAUUCUUAGCUGCUCGAACAGUUGUUUUCAGAGUAGUUGCCAUCUUGACUGUCGGGCCAAAGUCGGCAGGCACUCCAUUAGCGAACCUCUCAAUCUUGGAGAGUUCUGUUGGCACUAGGUACGGAAAUAACUUCAUUUUCUUAGUUAAUGCAGUAGCAUAGUCAUAUAUGCUUAUCCUCCCCUUCUUCAAGUUUUGGAACUCAUUUUUCAGAUCAAUCAGAUCUAUCUCUGAACAACAUUGCACCCUUAGUUGUUCCAAGAACUCCUCCCAUGACAUUUCAGAGCUUCUCCUUGUGGCAUAGUAUCUGCUAGCAUCUUCCACCAACUCAAGACUCCAGUCUUCAGUUGUCUAACUGCAAAGACAGUCUUCUGUUUGUUGCUACAGUCGCAACUUUCAAAUACCAUCUCCAUUUCGGAGAUCCAAUCCAUAAUCUCAACAGGCUUUGGGCUUCUAGAAAGACUUGGCGGCUUGGCGGCCAAUAAAUUCUAGUACAUUCGCCCAUCCUUGUUGUUUCUCCUUUCCGGAUCGUUCCUUCGUUCUCCUUGAGUCCCAACUUGACUCAUAAUGUGACUAUUGUUUCCUUCCUCCGAUUGCUCGGGAAUCAGUUUGGGUUCCUCAAUAGGUAUGAUAGGUUCGUCCCUAUUAUCAUGCAACAUCUGUCGCAUUUCAUCCCUUUGUUUGGCUAACAUAGCCCGAAUCAUGGCUUUCACCCCCGCCAUCGUUAUUGGUUAUGGUGCUGUUGCUACAACAAGUAUUUGCUGAAUCACUGGUGGUUGAUUCCUUUUUUCAUCCGCGUUUCCAACGCCACUCCUUGUUCUUACCAUUUUUGAUCUACACACCAAAUAAGGUGAAAUUAGAUCCUCAUCCCAUGAUAGAUAAUUAAAUCAUCCUUAUCACUCUGAAAUGUUUACAUGCUAGUUCUAAUACCUUAGACGUACGCUUAGAAUCCUACACACAUAAGGUUUCCAGAUUCAGUCGGCAACAGACCAUAGAUCCGAACAAAUAAUAUAAUAUAUGGCAACAUAUAACAUUUAGCACAUAAAAGCAUUUUAGGCAGCUUCCUAAAAUAUACUAGUGCUCGUGUCUAUAAUAUAUUAGACACACAUCUCACAAUCUCCACUUAGCAUUCUAAGUUUAAUUCUAGAAAUCCUACAAAUUCCUAGUUCGCUUAAACUAAUGCUCUGAUACCAACUGUGACAUCCCCAAAAUCACGGCCAGAAAAAACUGAUUUCAUUUAUGCUUUUUAAAAUAAUUUCAGUGUAAAUCCUUUUGAUUUAAAAGAGUUGCGGAAUUUGUUCCCAAAACAAAAUAUGAUAAAAUAAUAUUUAUCAAAGCAUUUAAUCAAGAGAUGCAUUUUCAUUAUAUAAUCAAAACUCGGGAUGUCAUGUUCCGAUACAGACCAUAAAGCAUAAACGAUAACAUUACAAAUCAUUCAACAAAUAUGUAGAUAUACAGACUUGUAAACAAAACAACUUGAUGAUUCAACCAUCUUAUGCCCUCGCGCCACUACUUGUAAUACGAAUAAUCUGAGUGGGUCAGGCUUGGGAUCCUGGUGAGCAUAAAGGGUUUUCAACCCACAAUAAAUAAUUAUAUUUAAUUUCACCAACCAACAAUAACCCGAUUACCCAUUCCCAUUAUCCUCACUUUAUUUUCCUAAAACAACAUCUAUCUCAAGGGACCUAAUCUAGGAUUUUCAUCGGGACAGACAUUACUGCUAAGGGGUUUCCUCAACAAUAGAUAUCCUAAAGGCAACCAUGAGGGGGAUAGAGUACACCGGUGAACACAUCGUUCACAACACCUACAGGUUAUGAACCUGCUAGCGUUNGACACCUACAGGUUAUGAACUUGCUAGAUCAACAACAACAACAUCAAGGCCUCUCAUCUGUUUAUCACACAUCAACUAUCUACCCAUGUUCUACCCAACAUAUUAGUAGAUAAAAAUAUACAUUUUUAUACAUAGUUUAAAACCUGUAUAGCAUUCUCAUUCAAUACAUAUUCCACAUAACAGAUGAGGCACACCCACAUAACACGUAUUUCAUAGAGAAUAAAUCAGAUCUAUGAGAUAGAAGAAAGUGAAUAUACAUUCACACAUAUAACAACAAAAUAUACACAUAACCCGUAUAUCGCAUAAAAUACUUCAUAGUUACACGUUAGAAGAAAGUAACUACACACGCACUUGAUUAGAAGAUGAUCAGACAGCACUACGACUUGCAGAAGUAGUAUUCUUCAGUAGAUCUGGAAGAUCUUCACAAAAACCGGGCUUCUCGCGAGCAGAGCUUCGGCUCGGGAAUUGCACUUCUCGGGAUCUUCAGGGCUUCGGGACUUGCUUCGGGGCUCGGGAUUGUUACCGGUGCUUCGGGGGUACUUCUUUGAACGUAAAUCGAUGCAAUAUAGGUGAGAGAUGAGAGAAUGAGCAACCAAACUCGGCUGGCCCUUCAAAUCUAUUUAUAGGGCAAAACUGGCCCUUGCCACGUCGUGGCACCUUUUUCGACGUCGUGGGAUUGGUCGUCACUGCAUGCGUCAUCUCAAGUUGCAUCUGGGGGACUCCCGGAGGUGUCAGAAGACUGUGCACAUCGUGGCACUGCUUGCCACAUCGUGGUAUCUGACAGUUUUGGGGUUUCGCGCCCCGAACUUCAGAAAUUCAUAACUUUCGCAUACGAACUCCAUUUUCGACGUUCUUUAUAUCGACGUGAAGGUGAGAUUAUGCUCUACAGCUCUCGUUUAGAUUCCAUUGGCAAAUUUUGAAUUGAUUUUUAAUAUAUUAUAAGUAUAUUACGUAUAUAUUAUUUUUAGUAGGCCGGGACAGGAAAAUUCUGUUCGAAAUUCAUAACUCCUUCAUCUGAACACCGUUUUCGUCUGUCUUUUUAUCGUUGGACUACUAUCAAUGAAAUCUUCAAUUCUAAUUUAGAAAAUUUUGGUUAAAUAACACUCGAUCUCUAUUUCGAGUAUUCGGGCUGCAUACCGCUUAGUCGAAACUUCGAAAAAUCAUAACUUCCUCAUACGAAGUCAGAUUUGGGCGUUCUUUACAUGCACGCUCUCGGUUAAAGGAACUCUACAACAUUUGUUUAGAUCACUAAGGCUAGAUAUCACACUAACAUAAAUUUCACUUUUUACGUCAUUCAGCGUUGCCGGUUCUGUCGCGAAACUUCGACAGGUCAUAACUUCUUCGUUAUAACUCGGAUUUCAGCAUUCUUUAUAUAUUCAUAAACCUCGUUUCAACUACUACAACAUUAUCCAUACAUAUCGUCUUUAUCUAACAUUUCAUUUUGACGCUUAUUUUUAUUCUUAAUCAAGCUAAGACACACAAUUAAGCACAUAACACAUAAUACUCAAAUAAUACACUUCUAUUAUUUCAAAACGGGUUACAAAGGUUAACCUGGACUACUAUAUCAAUAUUAAUGACGAGCCUGGAAACACAGGCGUUACAAUUAAACCGUGAGAGUAAAUAAAAAGAACGUCCAAAUCUGACUUCGUAUGAGGAAGUUAUGAUUUUUCCAAGAUCCGGAUAUAGCAGUAGACAGCUAAAAACUUGAAAUAGAGAUCGAGAGACUUUUGGCCGAAAAAACCUAAAUAAGAAUCAAAGGUCUCAACAAUAGUAGCGCAGCGGUGAAAAGUCUGACGAAAACGGACAUCGGAUGAAGAAGUUAUGGAUUUUUAACGGACUUUUCGUGUCCCGGCCCGUUAAAAAUAAAUAAUUAAAAAUAAACUCAAAGUUAGCUGACAAAGUUUAAACGAGAGUUGUAGAUCAUAUUUUCAGCUAUGCGUGCAUAUAAAGAACGUCGAAAACGGAGCUCGUACGUGAAAGUUAUGGAUUUUACAAGUUGGGGUCCAAAAUCCGAGGCUAUCAGGUCUGCCACGACGUGGCAUAGUUUUCCGCGACCAGACAAGUGACUGAGGGCGUCUAAUCAACAGAAGGAGAUAAGAUUUGACCACCACGACGUGGCCAACCAUUUUCCACGACGUGGCACCCAAAAAUCCACCCCUAUAAAUAGAACUCUUGGGGUGCCAGGUUUAGGUGCUCCAUUCUUUUAUCUCUCGUGCUGAAACUCUGCGGUUAAGCUCCCGAAGCCCCGAUUUUGACACUCAAGUUCCACAGGAAUAUUCUAUACUCCCGAGAUUCCAGAGAUUCCCGAGAAUCUCGAGAAAAUCAACUCUUACAAGUCGAAGUUCUGCUCGAUUGUCUUCUCGCUUUCUCCAAUCAAUCAGGUGAGUUCAUACCCAUAUAAACUACACUUUCAAAUGUUUUAUCAAUGCUUUUUAUACAAUUUUAAGGGGGGGGGGGAUUUACAAGUAAACACACGAUUAUUAUCGUGCGUAACCCAAGGUUUCACUAAAUACUCAUGUUUAUCAAUUAAAUCAUAUGUGAUUCAUAACCACUAUAUGGAAUGCUUCGUACGCAAAAUAUCAUGAUAUUAUGUUAUCUGUUGAUAUUAAAUAUGUUGUUAUACGUAUACAAAUCAAACACUUUAUUUAUACUUUAAGUAUAUGUGAUCAUUUAUGUCACUUUAAAUGUUAUACUUUAUAUAACAAGUGAGCAUUACACUAGGGUUUACUGUAUGAACAAAACACACUCUUUGAAAACCUAUAAUAGAUAUAGUUUACGAGAAAAUCAUGAACAUUUACAUACUAGAAACAGUAUAUCAAAGAGAUAUUUUCAUACACAAGAACAAAUGGACAUUUUCAUACGUAAAUCUGUUUUAUACUAAGUUUUGUGAGACAUUUCACGUACUUUCGAGUAUGCAUUUUAAGUCCUGUAUUAUAUACCAUAAUCCCUUGUAGAGGGAAUGUGAUACAUGUGUAUAGAUCUAUACGGGAUUAACAAUCCCGCACCUAAGUUGUUAGCUACAGCUAGGCCGGCAUGCCUGGGGUGACAAACGUCAUAACUUUCCAACGCCUGAAGAACGUUUUUAUAGGCAUCCUGGUCAAAUAGUAUGGUUAUAAGACUCACAUGGAGUAUUAAAAACACAUUUAUUUACGGGGUUUUUCAAAUUCCUUAACGAUUUAUACAUAAACCUACUAUUUUAGGCAUGAAAAGCACUAUUGCAUCACAGUUUAGGAACAAUUAAACUACCAUCUACUAUAACAUGAAAUACGGGAUUUUCUAGGGACAUUUAAACAUGUACAAACCAUUUUCAUUAUAUUUCAUACAAACAUGGUCACUAAAUACUUAUGAACUCACCAUCUUAAAUGUUGACCUACUCUUUUCAAAACCACUUGUAUUUCUCAGGGAUUCAGUAAUACAGGUAAACUAUAGCUUUUGAAGAAGGGACACUACGGCGUUAGUUUAAUUUCAUUUUGACAUCAUAAUUUGUUUUUGAAACAAGUACCUUUCAACAAUGUAAGCUUUUAAAUUAUAUAUAUGAUGGUUGUAUUACUUUCUUUACUAUGUAUUCAACUUUUUCCAUACUACAUGAAGUCUUCCGCCCUCGAACGAUUCUAUCAUUCCGGUUUGGGGGUGUCACACAAGAGCACAAUAAUACAUUUGGUCAUUGAUUACGAAAGGAGGUAUAUUGUUUUCAUAUAUGUUGUGUUCUUUGUUAUGUAUUUCUUUAUAUCUUAAAUUUAUAAUCUAAUUACUAUUCAGGUAGAGAAAGUAUAAGAGAGACAAUGACAAGGAUUUCACAUGGACCCAAUAAGAACAUUAUUAAAUACGAUGUAUAUGCUAUUAAUGGAUGUACUUUUCAUACAAAAGCUCGUGAAGGUAAAGUUUACCAAAACAAUGGGGUUAGUGUCAUUGGAAUUGACACACACAUCAGUAAAGAAGUUGUAACAUAUGCCAAAAACACUUAUUCGAAACUAACAGCUUCUACAACUCGUCGAGUUUGCUCGGGACCAAAUAACUCACCCAUUAAGCCGAUAUAUUCGAAACUAACAACUUCUACAACCCAUAUCUUAACUGAAAUGGCCUUCAAAAGGAUAAAGUUUUCAUAUUUACCCUUAAGAACCACCAAAAUAGGUUCAAAACCCAAACCCUAAGAUUAAAAGGGAAAGGACUUAAUCAUUAAGCACUUAUUCCACAUGGACACAUCUCCAAGAUGUAGAUCUGACCAUAUGAGGCUAGAUAGCCAUUCAAAGUUUCCAACUUUACACUUAUUCAUGCUUAGAAGAAGCUUAAAAGCUUAAAAGUGACCAAAAGAAGGACUUAAUGAAUGCAUGAAGCCUUAGGACCACAAAGUUAGCACCUUUUUGCCAAAAGAGCUCAUAAAGAUUAUAGAUCUGAAAGAAUAAGCACUUGGGACAUCUAUUUCCCCAACAAUCACCCAUCCAUGGCUAAAAGCAUGAAAUUUAUCCAAGUAAGAGAUCUACUCAAAUGAUAAGAAAUGUUAGAACUUUAUACCCAAGAAGUGCUGAAAAAUGGAGCAGAGAAUCAAUACCUGUGAGCUCUUUCUUGAACCACGACCUUGCACCAAGCUUCUCCUCCUUGAAUGAGCUUCAAACACACACCAAACCACUCAUAAUGGAACCACAACACUCUUAGAGGCACUAGGGUUUCAAGAUUAGGGUUAGGGGGUAUGGAGGCUGGAAAUGAGACCAACACCUAGAACUUAAGGUGUUUAGAUACAGUGCAAAACCCCCCAAAAUUAGGGUUUACUAAACAGCGCCCAACUCUUAGAGUUGGCUCCUCUAACUCGCCGAGGUGACUCAUAAAUCUCGUGACCAAAUUAACCUCUACUUGUCGAGCCGAGUCAUCGAGUAGACCCCUUAAAUCCUCACGGUUCAUCAUCUUCAACUCGUUAAGUUGGCUCCUCCAACUCGCUUGGUUCGACUUCAAAUUGGCAAUAUUUUCACAAUUAACCUUCUAGAUUCUAGGUGUUACAACCCUCCCCCACUUAAAUUAGAUUUUGUCCUUGAAAUCACUCCUUAUUAACAUUCAUAACAAAACAACCAACCUGACGAUUAUAAACAAAAUUCUGCACACAAAAAUAAUCUUCCCAAGGCAACCGAAACCCAAAACGAAACUUUUAACCCGAAAAUAACAUCCAACCCUUCAGCCCUUGCAAACACUUUCACCUUUGUAGGACUAGAAUCCAUAAUGGUCUAUCACCCCGGCAGACCACUCAUGCUGAAACAACUCCAUGCCCAAUUCUCAAUUAAUAACUGACCCAUCAUAAUACUUCCAAUUCUGAACAUACCACUUCCAAUGUGCAAUCUUCAUGGUUGUGACCCUUCUAUCCACCCCUAUCGUACUUAGAUUUGCUGUGCACAUUCUCACGCGCUCCUUCAUCCUUCGUGUAACCACCAAGACCCCUCAGGUCUCUAAAACCAGCUAUGGUAGCGUCCAAUUACUCAGAUCGUCGAGCAUGCCUAAAAGUCUGCUUCCUCUUUCCCAGCUGCCUAUCUAACCUAAUCUCCUACUCCCAGUUUACCCCGACAACCCAAUCAUCCUCUUGAAUAACUGUGGUCUACCCCUCGAACCUGGCAAUCACUGUAUUUGUGACACGCCUGAUGAUGUCGGGUAAUUCCUUGCGUAGGGCUCGCGAAAACUCCGCGGCAAUCCAAUCAUGUGGUUGACUCUCCUGAAGACAUGGUGCACAACUCACCUCCGAUCCGAAACGACAAGAGCUAUCAAUAUGAUUCUCCUUCCUAAAGGUUCUCAAAUUCUCCAAGACUUUCACUAAUUCGAGUAUGGAUCAUGUGCUUUCAGUAAUACGAGCCCAAUACUACCUUCCACACCUAUCCAUACUUUCCUCAACAAUCCUCCUAAAUCCUCUGAGUGACCUCCUCAAGCCAAAGCACCAAAACUCACUAAACCGAAUCACUAACCCACUGAAGAAUACCCGAGGCUCUCCUAGAUUACCGACCCCACCCUACCCUCAGCCAGAAGAACUUUCACCAAUGUUGACCAACUACCUCAUAAAUAUAGUCACAUGCAAUAGAGAUCAGAUAAUCCUUCGAGUAAAAGACUCAACCCUUGAACGGUUGGACUUAAACUAGAGUUGCACAAAGCAAGCAACAUUUAGGCAACAUAAAAUCUAACCGGCAUACACUAACUAGGCCUUUCUAUCCACUGAUCUUAAAACCAUACUAACAUGCAAUCUAAAGGCUCAUACAAUCAGGCAUAUGAAGGCAUAUCUCCUGUCACAUAAUAUUGAGUAGAUCCUUAGACCUAAUCUUGCAUGUAAUUCUCAUAAUCAUAUCACAUAUCAUAAUAAACAUGUAUUGGUAUUCCGGGAAUCACUUGCUUGAGCUCGACCAAUUGCAUGCAUCACACCCCUUUCUUCAAUUACAAAUUCCUUUUUAAUUAAAUGUUUAUUUAACAAAAGUUUUCACCAAACCCUCAGUUUGAGACCAGGCACACCGUAGAGUAUGCCCGAAUCCCUCAAACCAAGGCUCUGAUACCAACUAGUAACAGCCCAAAAAUCCAAAGUAAAAAUUUCAUUUUUAUUAUAAUCAAAACACUAUUGUAACUUUGUUAUAAACGUUAAAAAGUAUUUCAGUUAACAUAAUUAUCAGAGUUCAAUCCCAAAAAUCACAUAUUACGAAAAACGGGUGUAUGCGCUGCGAUCAUCCCGAGCUUUUUCAUUUGACAAUUGGAGUACCUGAAACAUAAACUGAAAACUGUAAUCACAAAGCUUAGUGAGUUCCCCGAAUACCACAUACCAUACAUGUCAAAUGAUCCAUAUAUUUCAUACAUAACCAUGAGCCAUACAUAUCAAUCAUUUAUUAUAAUCAACGAGAGUGUUAUGUGUCAACCAUAGCCUAGCAAUUAUGCCACGAGCCACCUCAUGGUCUUUCUUGCCAGGCCGUGGGCCACAACCCUGGGUCUUACAGACAAGUGCCCAUAGCCACCUCCUUGUCUUCCAUGCAAGCAUCACAAAGACAACUAGCAUACAAGCUAUACUACUUAACUAAUUACUUGCCAGAGCUUAGACUCUGGUAUUGCAUACAUUGUGCCAAGAGCCGCCUCCUGCUCUUUCAUACAGUACCAAGGGAUAACCCACGAGUCAUCCUACCAUACAUAAAGCAAAUGCUCCGACAUUGUUGCCUUCAACCCGUAAAAUAGUGAGGAGGCUCAACUCGAAUGCUGAAUCCCACUGCAAUAAAUCCUUAGUUGUUGUCAAGACAACUCCUCGAGCUAACAAUACCAAAAUAUCAUCCAAUUCGCAAUUAGGUCCCAAACCAUGAUCCAUAAUCCAUACUUGGGGUAAAAUGACCAUUUUACGCCUGUCCAAACAAGAUUCAUAACUUAGGCCCAAGCCCUAAAUCCAACAAGAUUCAAAACCAGACAAUCCAUGAAAGCCCACUAAUGGCCCAAUUAUCCAAAUUGGGCCCAAUCUUAUACGAGCUUUAUCCUAAGCCUAUACUUUCCAAUUCAGAUUGCUUCAAACAGCCCUUGGGACAAACUUUAUCAAAGGCAUGAGUCAAAAGUCAAAGUCAACAGCCUAUGUUGACCCAACUCGCCGAAUUUAUCAUUCAACUCACCGAGUUCCUCUGACAACCGCAAAGUCAGGAAGAAACUGAUCCAACUCGCCGAGUUGACCCUCGCCAACUUAGAAUCGGGGAAAACCAAAACAACUCGCCGAGUUGGCUAUCCAACUCACCGAGUUGGCCCGGGACCAAACAACUCAAACCAUUAAGCCAACAUAGUCGAAACAAAUAGCUUCUCCUACCUAGAUUUGAAAUGUAAUGGCCUUAAGAAGGGUAAACUUUCCAACUAUACCCCUAAGAACCACCAAAAUAGGUUCAAAACCCAAACCAUAAGCUUAAAAGGGUAAGGACUUAAUCUUUAAGCACUUAUUUCACAAGGACACAACUCCAAGAUGUAGAUUUGACCAUAAUUUUGGCUAGAUGGCCAUGUAAAGUUUCCAACUUUACACUUAUUCAAGCUUAGAAGAAGCUCAAAACCUUAAAAGAGACCAAAAAAAGGACUUAAUGAAUGCAUGAAGCCCUUAGGACCAUAAAGUUGGCACCUUUAUGCUAAAAGAGCUCAUAAAGGUCAUAGAUUUGAAAGAAUAAGCACUUGGGACCUCUAUUUCACCAACAAUCACCCAUCCAUGGCUAAAAGCAUGAAUUUUAUCCAAAUAAGAGAUCUACUCAAAUGAUAAGCAAGGUUAGAACUAUAUACCCAAGAUGUGCUGGAAAUGCAGCAGAGAAUGAAUAUCUAUGAGAUCCUUCUUGAACCACCACCUUUCACCAAGCUUCUCCACCUUGAAUGAGUUUCAAACACACACCAAAACACACACAAUAGAUCCACAACAUUCUUGGAUUCUCUAGGGUUUCGAGAUUAGGGUUAAGGGCUAUGUAGGUUGCAAAUGAGGCCAUCACCUGGAACUUAAGGAAUUUAAAUAGGGUGAAAACCCCCAAAAUUAGGGUUUCCUAAACAGCACCUAACUCGUCGAGUUGGCUCCUCCAAACAGCUGAGUUGGCUCAUAAAUCUCAUGACCAAAAUAACCUCUACUGGCCGAGUUGAGACUCCUCAAAUCGUCAAGUGGACCCCUUAAAUCCUCACAAUUCAUCAUCUUCAACUCACUGAAUUGGCUCCUCCAACUCAUCGUGUCGACUUGAAAUUGGCAAUAUUUCAAUUAACCUUCUACAUUUCGGUUGUCACACAUAUACCAGGACACUUCCACCUUCAUGUAGCUUAUAACCCAUGAGUGAUCAUAGUAUGUCACAUCGCUCCUACCUAUGUGAGGACCCAAAAAUUUGAGAAUCAACUUACUCUUUGCAUGAUUAAUGAUAAGAACGUUGUAGUUCACGUUCAGAAGGUUUCGCGGAUACAAAGUUAUUAUAAAAUGGAGUUUGUAUGAUAAAGUUAUGGCCAUUCAAAAAGUAUAUAGUUAUUCGAAAAAAUACAGCAAAAAGUCUGAAGGACACCAAGUACCCUUUAAAGGUCGUAGUGUUCCAUCUCUUAAGCAUCAAAAACAUAUUUCAAACGGUAAGAUGCAUACCGAAUAAAGAGGGUCACGUAGCGGGUGCAGAUCUUAACAUGUGACCACGACGGCCAUAGCUAUAUANNNNNNNNNNUGUGUGUGUGUGUGUGUGUGUGUGUGUGUGUGUGUGUUUCCAUAACUUGUUGUACUGACGAUUUCUACAAGCAUUUAUGAAACUUCAUCUAGCCUUUGGAAUCACAUUUUAAUGUUCGUAUAUAGUAAACACGAUAUAGUAUGUAAACUCGUAACACGAUGUUGUUCUGAGAUGACGGAUAAUGUCAUAGGAAAAUAGUUUUUGAAGCGAAAAUCGCAAUUAGAUAGUGAGGGAUGUAAACCCUAGUUUAUAGGAUUGUUAAUUAUAGGAUUGGGCUAUGUACUUACGGAGUUAAGCCGUUUGAUAAUGGUUUUGAGGAGCUUGGUGAAUUGGUAACAAAUAGUUACCUUGGUGUGUUAGUGAUCAAUCAAUAAGGUUCUCUAUAAUAGAUAUGAAAAUAAGCUCCUACGUGUAUUGCAACAAGUUAUGAGGUACUGUGAAUUUGUCCAUAUAGCUUGGAUUGGUUUUGAGUUAAAAGAUAGCGCGAUGCUAGAAGCCAAAUAGGAAGUUAGUCUUCACUAACUAGCCAGGUAAGUACAUGUGGAUUUUCCCAUUUGGGGUACAUGGCAUAUUAGAAAUGUAUUUCAUGAAAGGUUUGAAAAUGAUUUACAAAAUGUUUUAUUGUUGAAAUGGUAAUAAAUACUAGCUAGAGAGUAAAUGGAUUCUUUAUAUAAAGAGUAAGUUACAUGUUUUGAAAGGAAAUUUGAAUAAACGAACUCUUUUAUGAUUAAUGGUUAGCUAGCUAUGAUUUCUUAUACAAAUUAUUGAAAAGGUUUAACAAACCAUAUUUAUAGUUAUAUUAUGUUUAAAUCUUUUACUAUGUAAUGUGAUUAUUAAAUGUGCAUGUGCAUGAGCAUCAAUCACUUAGGCAUGAUUGAGUCAGUUAAGGAAAACUAGUAAUCGUGCAUUAUAUCAGAGAAUUGCAUUGUAUUGGAAAUUUUGUCGCCUUUCCCAAGGUGUCCGCAUGGGGACCAAUGAAAUGUUGCCCAAGUGGUCUGCAUAGGGGCGAGUGUAAUGUUCCCCAAGGAGUCCGUCUGGGGACCAAAGUUUCCUAGGGGUUCUCAUGGGAUCAAAUUACGGGGCCUUACUUGGAUGAUCUGCUCUUUGGUAUUGGUCAACAUUCUAAGUCACUUUAUAUGACUAACCUAAUUGGGGCGGUCCUUAUGGACAUUAGAUUCAAAAGAUAGUUGAGACUCUCAGGAUGGCUCGAGAAGUGUUGCAUUGAGUGACUACAUGCAUAUCAUGCCUUGCAUUUCAUUUAAAAAUACAUGUCAAAUUAAAGUUUUGUCAAGUGGUUUAAUAAUAAUUUUGUGUGUAAACCCAUGUAGCUUACUAAACUAUGAUUGUCCUAUAUAUUUGUUUAAAUGCCAUGUAUUCCAUGUUUUGAGAUAAAACUUAGAAUGUUGAGUUGAGACAAACAGCACAGAGCUAAUGGAUAGAACAUGGGCAUUGCUUCCAUGACGUAAGCAACUUGUAGGUUUACUAUGGUUUAUUGUAUCAGUUGUAAUAACCGAACGAAUAUUUUUACAAAUGUAUUUUUAAAUGAAAUGAGAAAACUUCGGGACCAUAUUUUAUAAAAGGACCCACUGAAAGAAAAUGUUUUAUAAAAAAAAUAGUAUUUUAAUGUGUUACAGAUUGGGUGUUAUAACCUAUCUUGUAAUUGAAACAUUUUGUUAAGCUGCAUAGUGAUAUCAAACUACCUAAAAUUUUCAAAAAUCUUUUGAAUAUCCAAAACCAUGGUCACAUGUACGACGCAUGCAACCUCAGUAGCCUCAAGGAAAUAACCAUUGGACUCAAAGGACAUAACCAUUAUUGUCCAAUAGUUGACCUCUAGUUGCAUUGUCAACAUGAGGUUUAGAGCUUGACCUUUCUUAUCGUACAUGAAAACAUUUCCCAGAUUGUAACAAAUCGUUAUUUCAAACUUAUGUAAUAAUGUAGGUCAAAUUGUAGUUCUUUUUAAUUAAAUAAAGAGAAAUUUUGGCAUACUAUGUAUAUUUACAUAAUUGACCCUCAAAAAUAAAUUAUUAAAUAAUCUCAAUUAGGUUAAACCAAGUGAUAGAGAUUGUAACAAGGUUUCCAAAAAUAUAAAGAACACUAAAAUCCGAGUUAUAACGAAGAAGUUAUGACCAAUCGAAAAUCCGCGACAAAACCGGCAAAACACUGUUCAGUGUAAAAACUGAAUUUUUGAUAAAAGGCUUUCUAGCCUUAACAAUCUAAAUGAAAGUUAUAGUUUUUGUUAAACCGAGAACUUUCAUAAAAAGAACGUCAAAAUUUGACUUCGUAUGAGAAAGUUAUGAUUUUUCGAAGUUUCAGUAUAGCAGUGUACAGCUAAAAACUCGAAAUAAAGAUCGAAUGGUUUUUAGCCAACACAACCUAAACGAGAAUUGAAGGUCUCGUCAUUAUUAGUACAACGAUAAAAAGACAGACAAAAACGGACGUCGUAUGAAAAAGUUAUGAAUUUAUAACGGAUUCACGUCCCGAUCUGUUUAAAAUAAUAAUAUAAAAAAAUAAAUUCAAAAUUUGCCGACGAAGUCUAAACGAAAGUCGUAGAGUAUAAUUUUAGCUACGCGUGCAUAUAAAGAACGUCAAAAACGGAGUUCGUAUGCAAAAGUUAUGAAUUUUACAAGUUUUGGCAAAAAAAUAAAGAAAAAUAGAAAUACCCGGGAAAAUUCGCAUGAACAGUAGCGCCACCUCACCCCUCGCAUGCGAGCCUCCACGUGUCGGCUGCUGAGUGGACCGAAGUCUCGCGUGUCACCUCCUGAUUCGGCCACUUCUGCGGUCCAAUCCCACUCGGACAGCCUCGCAAGGAGACACACCGGGGAUGCUCCUCGCACACGCCUCGCACCACCCUCGGACACCCCUUCGCACGUGGCUUCUUUGCAUUGGACUGAGGGCUAGACCAAUCCGAGCCUACCACCUCCAAACCAAAGCUGCUUCCCUUCACAUAAUGUCAGCCUCGCAUAGCCUCGCACAAGCUUCGGAUCCGAGGCUUCGGCCUAUAUAAGGCAUGCGAGGGUUUCCGGAUUUUUUACACUUUUCACCCCAAAUUUUACUCUCUUUCACUUUUUCCACACCCUUAAGCUUAUAUACAACCCUUAAAGCCCCGGUAUCAAGACUCGAGCCCGAAGUAAGCCGUGAAGCCCCGAAAUUCUCGAGAAUUCAUCCUCUCUCCUGUCAAAACUCUGCCCGAUUUGAGCCGGUUUCUCGACAAAUAAACUCCUUUUCGUGAAACGAAACCCUGUCCGAAUUACCACCUACCAAGUGAGUUCAUACCCCCGUAUUUUCAUAAUUUCUACUGUUUUAAGGGGGGAAAUACAAGUAUAACACAACAACUUUGUGUUAUAAAUAAAUGAUUUCAAAUCACGAUAAAAUGAUUUUAAAGCAUCGAAAAUACUUCAAAUUUUGAACUCUUUUAUAAACUUAUAUUUUUCCCAAAUAUACAUAUUUGUAUAUAUAAUUUAAUAUAAAUAAGAUUUAAAAGGCUUAGGACUAAUAAUUCAUUCUAGGUCCUUUUCCUUGUUUGGAUGUGGACUUAUAGUACCAGUUAUUUGUCCGAAGGUCGUUCAAAUUUUACUUAUUUAUAAAAUUGUAUAUGUAUAUAAAAUUAAAAGUUAUUUCAUCAGUUUAAUCACCCUUUGUAACAUGUUGAGCAAAGGAUUACAUGCAAAAAUAGUUAUUUACCAAUUCAUAAAGUACAUAUAAAUUAUAAUAGGUAUAGUUUAUGAUACAUAGAGCAAUAAUUCAUAUGAAUACAUUGUUUUACAUGCAACAAGGGUUUUAACUCAAAACAAAUCAAGGGUUUACACUUAUCAAAUACAUGUUCGGGAUACUAAGUCAAGAACAUAAUGUCAAUCAUUUAUCUCAGAAUGAUUGGGUUUUCAUAACUAAUAUACAUGUAACGUUUAUAUGCUUUUUAUGAGACAUUCAAUUCAGGUUGUUUAGAUUCAGUCUAGACAACCAAGGUAAAGCCCUGACAUUAUAACCAGAAUCUCCAGUCCGGGGAUCGAAACAAGUUGUGUGUAGAUCUAUAUCGGGAUUGACAACCCCGCACUCAGGCUGCUAGCUACAGUCAGGCAUACAUGCCAAUGAGUGGCAAUUGUUAUCAACAGUUUAAGCGCUCAUCAGGCGUUUGUUUCAGGCGUUCAUGUCUUAGUAUGGUUAUAAUAACUCAUUAAAAAGAUAUUAACAACACGUUAGUGUAUAAACAACUAAACGUAAGUAUAUCUUCAAAGUACCAGUUUACAAAAUGCAAAGUACAAUGCUAUACUAUAGUUUUCAAUAACAGCUGGUGAAGCCAGGCACACUCUCAAAUACAAGUUUUACAAAUACAAUGGUUUACAAAUAAGACGGUUUUAUAGGAAUAAAACUACUUUUCACAUACCACAGAAAAUAUGGGAUUUUCUAGAAGUGUUUUCAUAUUCAAAAUACAAAUACACCCAUUCAAAACAUAAAGACUUAUGUACUCACUCAACUUAUUGUUGAUACUCUCUUUUCAAAUUACUUGUAUUAUCAGGGAAAUAAUAACAGGUACUCCCCGAGCUUUUUGAGAAGAUGAAGCCAUUAGGAGUCUUAUCUUCUUCCUUUGUAUAACUGUUUUGGUUUCAAUAUACAAUGAUUGAACACAUGUAAAUAUUACACUUUUAAAUACAAUGGUUGUUUGUACUUUGAUUACUAUGAUGCAUGUGUUGUGAUACUACAAAUGAAAUCCUCCACCCCCGGACGUUUCCGCCGUCUGGUUUGGGGGUGUGACAGAUUGGUAUCAGAGCAUUGUUUAUAGUGAACUCAGUAUAUCAAUCCAUAAAAGAUAUACAAACUAUAAAUACAUUGGGGCUAAGAGCUCUGACUACAAGUAUACUUUUAAGAAUUUUAAGUAUUUUUACAAGAAGUAUACUAACCCUCAUCCCUACAAGUACAUAGUCAUAAGAACUUAAAAGUAUUUGGAUGUUAAACAUUACAGUUAAACCCGAGCAGUUAUGUAAUCAUGUCUAGAAUUAAUAUAGCCUGAUCAACUAUAUUGAUUUCAGACAUGACCAACAUGUGUUUGGGAGUGAUAGUAGUGUUGUGACGUAUCUAAAACUUACCAACUACCAAAGAAACUCUAAGAACAGAACAUAAAAUACUAUAAGAAUAUUAUAAACAUCGAUAUGCUUUAGUUUUCUUUUCAAGCAUUUCUCAUAACCUUAUUCUCGUACAGACACAAUGGCAGGACAUCAUCCACCAGGGGACCCUUAUUUUCCAAAUCAUGGCAAUCAGGAAUGGAUAGUGGAAGAUCCAGAAGAAGACUCAGAUGAAGAACCAUUUGAGGACAGCGAGUCAAGCGGUACCGAUACAGAGCCACAAGUCUGCAACCCGGGGAUACGUCCCCCGAGACAAGAGGAAGCAAUACCUAUACCCGAGUGGGGCCAAUACAUAAACCAUUGGAGUCGACAAGACGGCCAACGCCCUCCCUACGGAAUGCAACAGGGUUUCUAUAACGUCUCAGAAGGAGGAGCAGCUGACAGAGCUCUUCCAGUUAUAGUGAAUCGAAUUGCCCGACAAUUCGAUCAAUCAAGGAUGUCAAUCAAUCGUAUCCUAGAAGUGAAUGCGGCUGCACAGGCUAACGCUGCCGAUAUCCUUCGUCUUGACGAGAUGCAAGAUGAUACCCAACACCAUACUGAAGCCCUUCAAAGGCAACUUAAUGCUGCCGAAUCAGAGAUCAGAGGACUGAGGGAGCAUCAAGCUGCCCAAGAAAGGCGCUGGAAAUCACAAGACGAAGCGGAACCCAGUAACCGUCGUAGCAACCGUCGCAAGUAGUGUUUACACUACUUUUCUAGUUUAAUAUACUGAAUGUAUAGACUACUUUCAGGACAUGUACAAAAUUAAGCAUCAAUAAAAUAAUAAGCACCUUACUUCAACAAGAGCUAUUACAAUUUUCACAAACAUUCCGUUCCAAAGUUUUGGGAUUAAGGAUAUGUACCAGUGUUGUUUUUCAUAGUUUUCGAUACGGCCGCGAAAAAUUUUAUUUUCGGUAGGUCGGUUUAAUGUCGAUACUUUCAUAGUACUAUGGACCUACUUGAAGGUCAUAUAUACAAAUUACAUAGAUAUCAACACAAUCGACAUGUAUUUAGAUAUUCUUUGAAAAAUAACCACUCCAAUUUAUAUUAUCCUAUUGCAAGUUAUACUUGCAGUGGACAUCUAUUUUCAAUUCUUUACAAGAUUCUUGUUGAAUUAAGUGUUUAAGUUCAGAGAUAUCAAAUUCAUAUUCAUUCUUGAUAUCUCACUAUCUUUUUAUCUAUUGACUUUUAUAGAAAAAGAUGCCUCCUCGUAGGAAUCCUAGACGUAACAAUGAAACGGAAGCACCGGCACCACCUCCACCACCACCCCCUCAAUUGGAUGCUGCCAUGUUCCAAGCGGCAGUCACGGCAGCUGUAGUGGCUGCCUUAUCUCAUAUCAAUGCUGGCGGUACUAGUGGGUCGGGAGCUGAUCCACGUCCUUCUAACCUUGUCGAGGGUCAUGAGCGCUCGAGGGAGUGCACUUAUAAAGACUUCUCGAAUGCCAAACCCAGGACCUUUAAUGGAACUGGAGGAGUGAUGGUUUUAAGGCAGUGGAUUGAGAAGAUAGAAGCAGUCUUUGAAAUCUGCUCCUGUCCAGAGGGUAGCAAAGUUAAAUUUGCUGCCUUUACUUUCUUAGAUAGGGCCCUAACAUGGUGGAAUGGCCAUGUUAAGUCACUAACUUUGGUGGUGGCUAAUACUAUAAGCUGGGAGAACCUAAAAACCAUGCUGAUGCGUGAAUACUGCCCGCGAGGGGAAAUCCAGAAACUGGAACAAGAACUCUGGAGUAUUACUAUGGCCGGUGCCGACAUAACGACUUACACGAAUCGAUUCUGUGACUUGGCGAUUCUGUGUCCGGAUAUGGUUGCUCCAGAGAGCAAAAAGAUUGAAAGGUAUAUUUGGGGACUGUCGCCCCAGAUACAAGCAAGUGUCAUUGCAUCAAAACCUGUCACCUUUGACAGUGCCAAGGAACUGGCACAGUCACUUAUUGACCACGGAAACCGUCAAAACUCUGUGGUUACCGCCCCAGAACAACCUAGGGAGAACAACAACAACAACAACAAGAAGGGUUGGAACAAAAGGAAGGGAAAAUCUCCUCUGGAACCUUCAAAGAAGCAACAAAUAGUGGCAGUCCAUGCUACUACUGUGCCUGCUACCAUACCUACUACUACACCUGUUGUUGCCCCUAACUACUCAGCACCAACUAAGCCCUAUGCCGGUAGCCUCCCCAAAUGCAACAAGUGCAAUUUUCACCACACCGGAAAUUGCCCUGAAAUGCAGUGCCGUAACUGCAACAGGAAAGGGCAUACUGCCCGAUUCUGUAGAACACCGCCUCAACCCCUUAACCAAGUACCUGCCGCUGGAGUAAGUCGAGCAUGCUACCAAUGCGGUGAUGUGGGGCAUUUCAAGAAAGAUUGUCCAAAAGCUGGAAAUGCCGGUGGGGUUGGGAGAAUUCUAGCACUAGGUCACGAAGAAGCGGUGGCAGACCCUGCUGUGGUCACGGGUACGUUCCUUCUCAACAAUACUUAUGCAUGCAUUCUUUUUGAUUGUGGUGCCGAGAGGAGCUUCGUGAGCCAUAACUUUAAACAUCUACUAAAUCAGAACUCCCAACCACUAAAUAAAACCUUCACAGUAGAAAUGGCUAACGGGAAAUCCGAAUCCACCAAUGAUAUAUACAUAGGAUGUACCCUUAUGUUAAAUGACUUGUCUUUCCCAAUAGACCUUAUGCCGGUCUCUAUCAAAAGUUUUGACAUCAUAAUAGGUAUGGAUUGGUUGUGCCCCAACCAUGCCGACAUCCUAUGCUAUGAAAGAGCUAUUCGUUUGAACUUACCAACUAACGAAACUCUUAUUAUCUAUGGCGACAAACCCGGAACGAACCUUCAGAUCAUUUCAUGCAUCAAGGCACAGAAAUACCUUCGCAAGGAGUAUUGUGCAUUCCUAGCUCAUGUGGUAGACAAAAAGCAAGAAGUGAAAGACAUCGCAAGCAUUCCUGAAGUCUGCAACUUUCCCGAUGUAUUUCCCGAUGAUCUUCCAGGAGUGCCUCCCGAACGACAAGUCGAAUUCCGAAUCGACUUAAUCCCUGGAGCUACCCCUGUAGCCAAAUCCCCCUAUCGUCUUGCACCUUCUGAAAUGCAGGAAUUAUCCAGCCAACUUAACGAACUCCUAAGCAAAGGUUUCAUAAGACCGAGCUUCUCACCUUGGGGAGCACCGGUUUUGUUCGUAAAGAAGAAGGAUGGAUCAUUCCGCAUGUGUAUAGACUACCGCGAGCUGAAUAAACUUACCAUUAAGAAUCGAUACCCUCUGCCUCGCAUUGACGAUCUGUUCGACCAACUUCAAGGGGCGAACUACUUCUCGAAGAUAGACUUAAGAUCCGGGUAUCACCAGUUACGAAUUUUGGAGGAAGACGUUCCCAAAACCGCGUUCAGAACUCGUUAUGGUCAUUACGAGUUUAUAGUGAUGCCAUUCGGAUUGACGAAUGCACCUGCAGUGUUCAUGGACCUAAUGAACAGAGUGUGUCGUCCAUUCUUGGACAAAUUCGUUAUAGUCUUCAUUGACGAUAUCCUUAUCUACUCAAAGAGCAAAGAGGAACAUGGCCAGCAUCUUCAUCAAAUAUUACAAACACUUAGGUCGGAGAAGCUCUAUGCGAAGUUUUCAAAGUGUGAAUUUUGGAUCAGGAAGGUAGAUUUCCUAGGUCACGUGGUUAGUUCAGAAGGAAUACAUGUCGACCCUUCCAAAAUAAAGGCAAUUGAAAACUGGUCAGCACCCAAAACACCUACAGAAAUCCGUCAAUUCUUAGGUCUUGCUGGCUAUUAUCGCAGAUUCAUUCAAAAUUUCUCUCGAAUAGCUAAGCCUCUUACUACUCUGACCCAAAAGGGUGUAACCUUUAGUUGGGGAGAAAAGCAAGAAACAGCGUUCCAAUUGCUGAAGCGAGCCUUGUGUAGUGCACCAAUCCUGUCUCUCCCUGAAGGGACAGAGGAUUUCGUAGUGUACUGUGAUGCUUCUAAUCAAGGGCUUGGAUGUGUUCUUAUGCAAAGAGGAAAGGUUAUAUCCUACGCCUCAAGACAGCUAAAGACACAUGAAGUCAACUAUACAACACAUGACCUUGAACUAGGAGCAGUGGUGUUUGCUCUGAAGAUUUGGAGACAUUACUUAUAUGGCACGAAAUGCACAAUAUUCACGGACCAUAAAAGUCUCCAACACAUCUUCGACCAGAAAGAACUGAAUAUGAGACAACGACGAUGGGUGGAGCUACUGAACGAUUACGAGUGUGAAAUUCGUUAUCACCCUGGUAAAGCAAACGUAGUAGCUGACGCCCUUAGUAGAAAAGAAUACUCGGGACGCCGAGUAAAGUCGUUGACCAUGACAAUCCAUUCGCAUCUGUCCACGCAGAUCAAGGAAGCCCAACUUGAAGCCUUGAAACCCAAAAACGUAGCAGGUGAAACUCUAAGAGGAAUGGAUAAGAACUUCGAAGUCAGGGAUGAUGGAGUCUAUUAUUUCAUGAAUCGGAUCUGGACACCAAAGUUUGGUGGUUACAGAGAUGUGGUUAUGAAUGAAGCACACAAAACCCGAUACUCCAUCCACCCAGGUUCAGACAAGAUGUAUUUGGACCUUAAGAAGUUAUAUUGGUGGCCUAACAUGAAGGCCGAAAUCGCUACCUUUGUGGGCAAGUGCCUUACUUGCGCCAAAAUUAAGGUAGAGUACCAGAAACCUUCAGGCUUAUUACAACAACCUGAAAUCCCUGAAUGGAAGUGGGAGCGGAUUACAAUGGAUUUCAUAACCAAGUUACCCAAGACAUCAAGUGGUUAUGAUACUAUUUGGGUAAUCGUCGAUAGAUUAACCAAAUCCGCACACUUCUUACCAAUCAAGGAGACCGACAAGAUGGAAAAGCUAACCAGAACGUACCUCAAGGAGAUUGUUAGAUUACAUGGUGUACCAAUAUCUAUUAUUUCAGACCGAGAUAGUAGAUUCACCUCCCGUUUUUGGCAAUCUUUACAAAACGCUCUGGGAACUAGGCUAGACAUGAGCACAGCCUACCAUCCGCAAACUGAUGGACAAAGUGAAAGGACGAUUCAAACGUUAGAAGAUAUGUUACGAGCUUGCGUGAUAGACUUUGGAAAAGCAUGGGAUAUUCAUUUACCCCUUGCUGAGUUCUCUUAUAACAACAGUUAUCACACUAGCAUAAAAGCUGCUCCAUUCGAAGCCCUCUAUGGUCGCAAGUGCAGAUCCCCUCUGUGCUGGGCUGAAGUGGGUGACACGCAGCUAGCUAGAGGUCAAACUCCUGACAGUGCUCUCACUGGUCCAGAAAUUAUUCGAGAAACUACCGAAAAGAUCGUACAAAUUCGGGAACGACUUAAAGCUUCCAGAGAUAGACAGAAAAGCUACGCAGACAAAAGGAGAAAACCCUUGGAAUUCCAGGUUGGCGACCGAGUUUUGCUAAAGGUCUCACCCUGGAAAGGCAUGAUACGCUUUGGAAAGCGUGACAAACUGAACCCAAGGUAUAUAGGACCAUUCGAGAUUCUUGCCCGAAUCGGCCCUGUAGCUUACAAACUUCGAUUACCCGAAGAACUAAGUAACAUUCAUUCUACCUUCCACGUUUCGAACUUGAAAAAGUGUCUUUCCGACGAGACUCUUGUGAUACCACUCGAGGAAAUCGAGUUAAACGAGAGCCUCAAUUUUGUGGAAGAACCCGUAGAGAUACUAGACAGGGAAGUUAAGAAAACCAAACAAAGCCGCAUCCCGAUAGUGAAGGUUCACUGGAAUGCAAGACGGGGACCUGAAUUCACUUGGGAGCGGGAGGAUCAAAUGCAACAAAAAUACCCACAUCUUUUUCCCUAGUCUAUCUGUAAAGUAAAUUUCGGGACGAAAUUCUCUCUAACGGGGGGAUAAUGUAACAAACCGUUAUUUCAAACUUAUGUAAUAGUGUAGGUCAAAUUGUUCUUCUUUUUAAUUAAAUAAAGAGAAAUUUUGGCAUACUAUGUAUAUUUACAUAAUUGACCCUCAAAAAUAAAUUAUUAAAUAAUCUCAAUUGGGUUGAACCAAGUGAUAGAGAUUGUAACAAGGUUUCCAAAAAUAUAAGGAACACUAAAAUCCGAGUUAUAACGAAGAAGUUAUGACCAAUCGAAAAUCCGCGACAAAACCGGCAAAACAUUGUUCAGUGUAAAAACUGAAUUUUUGAUAAAAGGCUUUCUAGCCUUAACAAUCUAAAUGAAAGUUAUAUUUUUUGUUAAACCGAGAACUUUCAUAAAAGGAACGCCAAAAUCUGACUUCGUAUGAGGAAGUUAUGAUUUUUCGAAGUUUCAGUAUAGCAGUAUACAGCUAAAAACUCGAAAUAAAGAUCGAGUGGUUUUUAGCCGACACAACGUAAACGAGAAUUGAAGGUCUCUUCAUUAUUAGUACAACGAUAAAAAGACAGACAAAAACGGACGUCGUAUGAAAAAGUUAUGAAUUUAUAACGGAUUCACGUCCCGAUCUGUUUAAAAUAAUAAUAUAAAAAAAUAAAUUCAAAAUUUGCUGACGAAGUCUAAGCGAAAGUCGUAGAGUAUAAUUUUAGCUAUGCGUGCAUAUAAAGAACGUCAAAAACGGAGUUCGUAUGCAAAAGUUAUGAAUUUUACAAGUUUUGGCAAAAAAAAUAAAGAAAAAUAGAAAUACCCGGGAAAAUUCGCAUGAACAGUAGCGCCACCUCACCCCUCGCAUGCGAGCCUCCACGUGUCGGCUGCUGAGUGGACCGAAGUCUCGCGUGUCACCUCCUGAUUCGGCCACUUCUGCGGUCCAAUCCCACUCGGACAGCCUCGCAAGGAGACACACCGGGGAUGCUCCUCGCACACGCCUCGCACCACCCUCGGACACCCCUUCGCACGUGGCUUCUUUGCAUUGGACCGAGGGCUAGACCAAUCCGAGCCUACCACCUCCGAACCGAAGCUGCUUCCCUUCGCAGAAUGUCAGCCUCGCAUAGCCUCGCACAAGCUUCGGAUCCGAGGCUUCGGCCUAUAUAAGGCAUGCGAGGGUUUCCGGAUUUUUUACACUUUUCACCCCAAAUUUUACUCUCUUUCACUUUUUCCACACCCUUAAGCUUAUAUACAACCCUUAAAUCCCCGGUAUCAAGACUCGAGCCCGAAGUAAGCCGUGAAGCCCCGAAAUUCUCGAGAAUUCAUCCUCUCUCCUGUCAAAACUCUGCCCGAUUUGAGCCGGUUUCUCGACAAAUAAACUCCUUUUCGUGAAACGAAACCCUGUCCGAAUUACCACCUACCAAGUGAGUUCAUACCCCCGUAUUUUCAUAAUUUCUACUGUUUUAAGGGGGGAAAUACAAGUAUAACACAACAACUUUGUGUUAUAAAUAAAUGAUUUCAAAUCACGAUAAAAUGAUUUUAAAGCAUCGAAAAUACUUCAAAUUUUGAACUCUUUUAUAAACUUAUAUUUUUCCCAAAUAUACAUAUUUGUAUAUAUAAUUUAAUAUAAAUAAGAUUUAAAAGGCUUAGGACUAAUAAUUCAUGCUAGGUCCUUUUCCUUGUUUGGAUGUGGACUUAUAGUACCAGUUAUUUGUCCGAAGGUCGUUCAAAUUUUACUUAUUUAUAAAAUUGUAUAUGUAUAUAAAAUUAAAAGUUAUUUCAUCAGUUUAAUCACCCUUUGUAACAUGUUGAGCAAAGGAUUACAUGCAAAAAUAGUUAUUUACCAAUUCAUAAAGUACAUAUAAAUUAUAAUAGGUAUAGUUUAUGAUACAUAGAGCAAUAAUUCAUAUGAAUACAUUGUUUUACAUGCAACAAGAGUUUUAACUCAAAACAAAUCAAGGGUUUACACUUAUCAAAUACAUGUUCGGGAUACUAAGUCAAGAACAUAAUGUCAAUCAUUUAUCUCAGAAUGAUUGGGUUUUCAUAACUAAUAUACAUGUAACGUUUAUAUGCUUUUUAUGAGACAUUCAAUUCAGGUUGUUUAGAUUCAGUCUAGACAACCAAGGUAAAGCCCUGACAUUAUAACCAGAAUCUCCAGUCCGGGGAUCGAAACAAGUUGUGUGUAGAUCUAUAUCGGGAUUGACAACCCCGCACUCAGGCUGCUAGCUACAGUCAGGCAUACAUGCCAAUGAGUGGCAAUUGUUAUCAACAGUUUAAGCGCUCAUCAGGCGUUUGUUUCAGGCGUUCAUGUCUUAGUAUGGUUAUAAUAACUCAUUAAAAAGAUAUUAACAACACGUUAGUGUAUAAACAACUAAACGUAAGUAUAUCUUCAAAGUACCAGUUUACAAAAUGCAAAGUACAAUGCUAUACUAUAGUUUUCAAUAACAGCUGGUGAAGCCAGGCACACUCUCAAAUACAAGUUUUACAAAUACAAUGGUUUACAAAUAAGAGGGUUUUAUGGGAAUAAAACUACUUUUCACACCCCACAGAAAAUAUGGGGUUUUCUAGGAGUGUUUUCAUAUUCAAAAUACAAAUACACCCAUUCAAACAUAAAGACUUAUGUACUCACUCAACUUAUUGUUGAUACUCUCUUUUCAAAUUACUUGUAUUCUCAGGGAAAUAAUAACAGGUACUCCCCGAGCUUUUUGAGAAGAUGGAGCCAUUAUGAGUCUUAUCUUCUUCUUUUGUAUAACUAGUUUGAUUUCAAUAUACAAUGAUUGAACACAUGUAAAUAUUAUACUUUUAAAUACAAUGGUUGUUUGUACUUUGAUUACUAUGAUGCAUGUGUUGUGAUACUACAAAUGAAGUCCUCCACCCCCGGACGUUUCCGCCGUCUGGUUUGGGGGUGUGACACAGAUUAUGUUGUCAGUCAAGAUAGUUUGAUCCAUUCAAUUUAUUAUUUAAAAGGAUACUUAGUGUUGAGAACUUUGGGUUUUAGGAUUUUGCAUUUCAGUACAUAUAGAAAGUUAUAUGAAAUUUUGAAAGUGAUUUGAUUAUAUUCUUUAUAAAAUCAAUUACCCGGCAUAUUAUGUUAUCAAAGGAGAAGAACCAUAUUUCUGUCCUAAUUGAAAAAAUGUAUGACAUAAUCAAAAGGAAAAGUUACUUAUGUAUGUAACACCCUUUACCAAUCCCAUUCUCUAUGAGACUCUUAGAUCUGUGGGAUUCAAAGGUUCAUGUCAACAUUGGCAUGUUUAAUCCGUAUUUAUGUUUAUCUUAUCUUAUGAUGGGUUUUGUACCGAUCAUAAGCUAAUAUAAUAAAUCAUCCAUUUGAACCAUGCUGGAAGACAUUAUAAUAAGUGUGUAAUACAAAUGGGUAGCAUAAGAUUUAUAUUUUCAAAAUGGGCUUUUUCUUUGUUCAAAUAAAACAGUUUUGAGUAUAUUUCGAAAAAAAUUACCUUUAUUGCACUUUAAAUUAUUCAUAUAUUUUUUUUAUAAAUUAUCUUUUUUUUUCAAAACAUUUGCAUGUCAAAUUUAUUUUUCAAUUUAAACAAGUUUCCUGGUUUCACAGUCCCAGACAAAACAUUAAAUAACACAAAUGACAUUCAAGUAACGCUAAUUAUUGUCUCAUUCCUAUGCAUUUCUCUAGUGAGCCAUCAUAAGAAAAAUCUCAGUCAUUCUAGGGAAAAACAACCACAAUAAUGUAUGGCUCCAGUUGUACUGUCAUUACACCCACUACUCGAAUGGAACUCCAUCAAGACUCGAAUCACUAUAGCCCUUGCUUGGUUCCCUUUGGUCUUUAUUUGUCUAUAAUUACCUUUCUAAAACAUUUUCCUAACUAGUAUAAUUUGUAUUAUAAUUACAAAAGAAAAGUACAUUACAAAUAAAUAAGGAAACAUCAUGCAAGUCACGAUUAAACUAAUCUAAAUAAACUAAACAACUCAAGUCAUCAUAAAUUCGAAACGAUUCAAUAAAUGACUGUAUCCAUAUAAUAACAUGUAACAUUAUUGAAAAGUAUUGUAAUUAAACAAUUUUUGUUAACAUCUUACAUAAAACUAUUUUAAACACAUAAUAUAUAAACAAGCUUCUUAGUUUUUCUUGUAUGAGUUCAUGCCAAAACAUACAACUAAAAUUAUAAUAAAAUCAAAAUAAAAGGGAAACAAAGACGUUGAAUUCAAAACUUAAUCAUUCUUGUCGUAUCGAUAUGUAACUUGAAAGCUUAGUCUAUCCGGAGUAGGAUAUGUAACACCUGAAAUAAGGUAUGUAUCUAUAGACCUUACUUUUUAUUGAAUUGUCAAAUCUAUCCUUUAAUUGACAAAAGGUGGCAAAUAAGUACGUGGGGUAUAUGCGUGUCUACGCUCGGUGUACUCAUGUGCGUAUUAUGGACGCGAAGGCCACCUAGUACGCUGGGCGUACUAGGCUCAGAGUGAAAACCCUAAUUUUGUGGUGUGUCCCUAUUUAAGAAACAUGGUGGCCUCAUUUCCCGCCACCAUUUCCGGUCUUCAACUUCCCUCAAAACACUAAUUUCCGUUUUCUUAGCUUGAGUGGCCAUUUGGAGCUUUUCAGUGAUCUUUGUAGAUUCUUUGGGUGAAAAAGGAGCUUUGAAGAGAGUAGAGUUGGAGUCCAAGCUUUGAAUCUGAGUUUCCUUAUGGUUGGUGCAUCAUUUGGAGGUAUCAAGCUCAAAGCUUUCUCGUUGUUUUGAUUUGUGCAUAUUGUGGUUCAUUUUAGGGUUUAUGUUCCAAAGCUUGAAACUUUAUUAGUUUGUUGAAGUCCAGAAUGUCUCUAGUUGAGUGGCUCAUUAAAAUGGGAUCUUCGACGUCAAGAUCUUCCCAUACAUGAUAUAUGAGAACUACUAUGAGUAAGCAGUGAGAGUUUAGGAGUUUUAGACUUGCUUAGCUAAGCUAAGGCUUAAAGUCAAAAACUUUAUGGAGUAUUAGCCUUAAUUGAGUCCAGAUCUAAGAUUAUAUCUAAGGUCUUAACGGAUUAAGACCAGGAGAGUGGGAAAAAUAAGUCUGGGCCGUACGCUAAGUGUACUCCCAGAUACGACCAGCUUAGCGUCGAAGUUUCCCGAUGCAUGCAUGGUAAAGUAGUACACCCACCGUAAAGGGGUUGUACGGUCUGUGAUAUUGCAGCCAAAUAGAAGGCAUUUUGAAGAAAAGGGACUAAAAGUGACAAAGCAUGGAACUUUGGAGGCUUGAAGACUUAAAAGAAUAAAAGUCCACAAGAAAGCUCAACUCACGACGUGAAUAUUUAGGAUUCACGAUGUGAGUACGAAUGUUCCAGAAGAUCAACAUUGCGGAGGAGGAAUCCUUGUCAAACACGGAUAAUUACGUGCUUACGACGCUUGCGUACAAGCGUGGUGUUGACUUUUAGGGUUUGGUCAAAUUGUGGACUUUGGAGGCCAUGGAAGGGUAAAAUGGUCUUUUAUCCUUUUGAAAAUUAGUAGAGGAUUUAGCCUAACAUCUUUGGGGGUAGUUUAUUAAUUAGAGUUAAUUACGAUAUACGUUAGGCAGAGGCUAGACUGGUGGUUCGAGUACGAGACAUACUUACUUUACUUACGAGGUGAGUCUUCUCAUUAUAAUUACCUGACUGGUAAUACAGUGUGACCGGAGGGUCUUAUAUGCUUAUGAUGAGUUACGUGAUAUUAUGCAUUUGUCUUUGUGAUUCAUGUUGUAUAUUAUUUUGUGCUUUAGUGGUUAGGGCCGGAGGGUCCAACCCGAGUUGUGAGACCGGACGGUCCUCACUAAGACACAUGAACCAGAGGGUCUUUAUGAGAUAUAGCCAUGGGAGGCUAAUUAUUUUCAUGUGGUAUUUUGGGGAACUCACUAUGCUUCGUGCUUAUCGUGUUGUGUGAUAUGUGUUUCAGGUACUUCUCAGGAUUGCGGGAAGGCGCCGACUUGAUUGUACACACCAGUUAGAUAUAAUGAUUUUGAGGAUUCUGGGAUUUUAAUAAACAUUUGUUGAAUUGUGUUUCGACAACUUAUACAUUUUGUGGUCUUUUUGGAAAUGUGAUAUUGAGUUAUGUGAUUUUAAAAAUGAAAAAUUUAUUUGAAAAUUUACAGUGUUAUAGGAUAGAAGCCCAUGCGUGGAAGCCGACGUGUUAUCCAAAAGACUAGUGAACACCACCCUAAGGGUUGGUGGCUUUGGUGUGGGGUGAGUGCAAAGACUGGCCAAGAUAGCCAAUCAAAAAUAAUCAACAACAGUAACAUGGCUUUCAUCUAUUUUCUUUUUAAUUGUAGUUACAUAUAUGGUCCCUAAAAAUGUAUCUUUGUUUCUCAUUAUACCCUUAUAUUUAUCUUUAAAUUAAAUUAAGCUUUCGGCUCUCUCUCUCUCUCUCUCUCUNNNNNNNNNNNNNNNNNNNNNNNUAUAUAUAUAUUUAUGUUUUAAAUUUAGUUUUUAUUUAAUUUAAUCAUAAAAAAAUAAAAAUAAAAAAAGAUAAUGGUGAAGUGGUGACCAUUUCCUAUGUGUAGUGGGUUGGUGGUGAAGUUGACGUGGAGAAGAGGUGGCACCACUUUUUCGGUGGGUUGGUUGUGACCACUCCCCACAGCCUUAAUGUGUAUGUUUUUUUACACACACUUUCCCAAGCAGUAUGUACAAGAUCAUACACAUUAUGUUUUUUAAAACUUAUUUCAAAGUGCUAUUAACAAGAAUCUAAGGAUCUGAUACCAUUGUUGGAUAAUAAGGUGUUCUUCUUCUUCAUAAGAAAAUAGUUAAUUAAAAAGAAAACAAAUAAGCAUUUAAGUCAAGAACGUAUAUAAUUAAACAUUAGACCAUGAUUAUUUCUAUUAAUAGAAACCCUAACCCUAAAAAGAGGUUUACGAAAUGCCUUUAAGAAAUGUGAAUAAGAUUGAGGAACUCAAACAAGAGUCCUUUGAUAGGAUCAUAACCCUUAACCACUAAACAAGCAAGAACGCUAGCUUUGGAGACUUGAGAAUUUUGACCACCAAGAAACAUGUGUUUUCUUUUCUUCCGGUUGUUGUUGCCCAAAGAUGAGGAGAGCAAAAGGGGUGGAUGACUUUAUGGUUUUGAAUAGACCCUUGAAACCCUUAUGCUUGCUCCUUUUAUAUAGUUGGUGGGAAUAUUAUCAUUUCUAAAUUUGAAUCAAGGAUAAAUUAUCUUAUUCAUUAGUAAUUAUACUUUAGAAUUAACUAUUAUGUAUUCAACUAAUUUAUAUAAAUCUUCUAAGCAUAAUUAUUUAGUUUCCACCAAUUAAUUUCUAAAUAUUAAUUAACAAUUUAAAAAAUCGUAAUUAAUUACAAUAACUUCCAAUUAUUUAUAGACACUCAUUAAAUAAUAAAUUAAUUCCCUCUUAAUUUAUUUGUUAAUGUUUUUAUCUUGGGUCAAGUGGGUAACCCAUAUAGGCUCAUGUAAUUAAUUUGGAUACCAAUAUGUUGUGUAAUGGCCAUAUCUCCAAGAAUAUAAGAGUCCAAAAAAUAAAAUGAGAAGAUUACCCCAAUAAUAUAUAAAAAUAAAAAGAACCAUCAGUUAUCCUUUAUACAAUAGAAAUAAGAAACAUGAAAAGAAAAAUAUUAAAGCCACAACGCUCUUAUCACCCUCUUCGGGCGACAAAAAAUUGUACUUUUUUUUACGUUUCCAGUAUAUAACCCUUCGAGCUCUUUUUUCAAGGAUAGGAUGAACCACAAGGAUGAUGUGGAAAAGAAAUAUUUUUAACAAAAAGAUUGAUGAAGUGAAGUGCAUCAUUUAGGAACUUAUUGAAAUGGAAUGGUUGUGGAUGAACAACUUUUCAAACAUCCCCUAGAGGAACCUUCUUAAUUAAACUCGUACUCAAAAAACCUAUAUAAAUAAAUAUGAUGUUGUUAUGGAUGUGUCAUGUAUUUCAAGAUUUGUAAUAAUGUUGGGAAUGUUUCAUGAUAUCGAAAAAGAAAUAAAAAUAUACUAACAUGGUUGUAUCUUGCAAACAACAAAGGUAUGGGCGUCUAAUAAUUAGUUGGGGGUGGAGGAGAACCAUAGAUGUAUACGGGCGGAAGAGGUGAUUUUACUGGUGGAGGGGGAGAUAUGUAGUGGUAAGGAGGUGGUGGCGACUUAACCGGUGGUGGGGGUGAUGUGUAAUAGUAUGGAGGUGGUGGAGAUUUCACAGGUGGUGGAGGUGAUGUGUAGUGGUAGGGUGGCGGUGAGGACUUAGCUGGUGGUGGGGGAGAGGUAUAGUGGUAAGGUGGAGGUGGCGAUUUAACUGGUGGUGGAGGUGAUGUAUAGUGGUAUGGUGGUGGUGGGGACUUAACAGGUGGUGGUGGAGAGGUGUAGUGGUAUGGAGGUGGUGGAGAUUUCACAGGGGGUGGGGGUGAUGUGUAGUGGUAUGGUGGUGGAGGGGAUUUUACCGAUGGAGGAGGUGAACUGUAGUGGUACGGUGGGGGUGGAGAUUUCAUUGGUGGUGGUGGUGAUGUAUAAUGGUAAGGCGGUGGAGGGGAUUUUACCGAUGGAGGAGGUGAACUGUAGUGGUACGGUGGGGGUGGAGAUUUCAUUGGUGGUGGUGGUGAUGUAUAAUGGUAAGGCGGUGGAGGGGAUUUUACAGGUGGGGGAGGUGAAGUGUAAUGGUAUGGUGGCGGUGGAUAUUUCACGGGUGGAGGUGGUGAAGUGUAGUGAUAUGGUGGUGGUGGGGACUUAACAGGUGGUGGUGGAGAGGCGUAGUGGUAUGGAGGUGGUGGAGAUUUCACAGGGGGUGGGGGUGAUGUGUAGUGGUAUGGUGGUGGAGGGGAUUUUACCGAUGGAGGAGGUGAACUGUAGUGGUACGGUGGGGGUGGAGAUUUCAUUGGUGGUGGUGGUGAUGUAUAAUGGUAAGGCGGUGGAGGGGAUUUUACAGGUGGGGGAGGUGAAGUGUAAUGGUAUGGUGGCGGUGGAUAUUUCACGGGUGGAGGUGGUGAAGUGUAGUGAUAUGGUGGGGGAGGCGAUUUCACUGGUGGUGGAGGUGAUGUAUAGUGGUAUGGAGGAGGUGGAGACUUAACAGGAGGUGGAGGCGAUGUGUAAUGGUAUGGCGGGGGCGGAGAUUUCACUGGUGGUGGAGGUGAUGUGUAGUGAUAAGGUGGGGGUGGUGACUUCACCGGUGGUGGAGGUGAUGUGUAGUGAUAAGGUGGGGGUGGUGACUUCACCGGUGGUGGUGGUGAAGUGUAAUGGUAUGGUGGUGGUGGAGAUUUCACUGGUGGUGGUGGUGAAGUAUAAUGGUAAGGUGGGGGUGGAGAUUUAACUGGUGGUGGAGGUGAUUUGUAGUAGUAUGGGGAAGGUGGUGAUUUCUUAGGUUGUGGGGGUGAUGUGUAGUGGUACUUGGGAGGAGUCUUCACUGGUGGUGGAGGGGAAGUGUAGUGGUAUGGUGGUGGUGGAGAUUUAACCGGUGGGGGAGGAGAUGUGUAAUGGUAUGGGGGAGGUGUUGAUUUCUUUGGUGGUGGGGGUGAUGUGUAGUGGUAUGGAGGAGGUGGUGAUUUCUUAGGGGGUGGGGGUGAAGUGUAGUGAUAUAUCGGAGGAGACUUAACGGGUGGAGGGGGAGACUUGUACAAGUAAGUGGGUGGCGGUGGUGGUGGAGAUUUGUAAUAAUAUGGAGAAGGAGUGGGCUCUGGUUUUGGCUUUGGCUUCUCACAAAGCGUAGAAGGAGUCUUAGGAGCAUAUGCAAAUGGUUCGGCCUCAAGGACAACCUCAUAAGCAUUUUUGGAUUUGACCUUUAGCACGGCACCCUUCAAACCACCAUGAAGAUUUGUUGGAAUAUUACAUUUGGUUCCUGUUGAUGCCAUAUGAAGCUUAGCGGUACAAGCUUUUGCUCCUCCAUACUUGGAAUAGUCUAAACCGUCAACCGUAAUUGCAUAUUUUCCAUUGAUCUUAGUCUUUCCAUAUGCAAAAAUUUCUUUCUGGCCAAUAGCCUUGCAAGUAAUUUCGACAACAGCACCUUUUUCAACACAAAUAAAAAAAAGUCAACUUCAUGUAUAUUUUUUGGUCCACCUUUUGUAAUAUACCGGUUACUACAAAAUUAAAACAUGUUAUGCUAUNACACCUUUUUCAACACAAAUAAAAAAAAGACAACUUCAUUUAUAUUUUUUGGUCCACCUUUUGUAAUAUACCGGUUACUACAAAAUUAAAACAUGUUAUGCUAUGCAUGAUAUGAUUUCGGGUAUAAAUACUUAAAUUAAAUAAAUAUUAUUAACUCUUAUACAAAAUAAUCAUAAAUAUAUAACUUAUAAUGUAGCCUUUCAUACAAUGAAUAUGUUGAAACCUUAGCAUGGUAUCUUUAUUUAUUUAUUUAUUUUUUUGAAGUAUUAUAAUUUAUAUGGUAAUGGGAUAAUAAGUAAUCAAUAUAUGAUUAUAUGUCUUAACAAGUUAACUCAAAAUUGAAAUUUUAGAAAAUUAAAGUUUCAUUUUCUCGGAAAUAUACAUAUCUUUCAUUUUGAUGUUUUUUUUUUUUUUAUAUAUUUUAAAAUGCAAGAUAGUAAACGAAUAAAACCAAAAGAUAAGAUACAUAUUUUCUGAACAUUAAUUGUCUAUACGUUUAAGUGUAUCGUUAGGUAAAAGAGAUGUGGAAAACCAGAAACAUAGAACAUGGGUCAACCAUCAAAGAACAUGCAUACACAUCAAGUCAUAUAUAUAAAACAGUUAAGGUAGUGCGAGAAACUAAAGUUUAUACCUUUGAGGUGAUGCUUGGCGUGUGAUUGGAUUGGGUAUUUCCAGUCAUAGCAGCUGUAGCAGUAAACUUUGCCCACGACCUUUACGAUGAGUUUCCUGUGGUGAGGGUAAGGUACGGGGUAGUAGGAUUUUGGUGGUGGUGGAGAACUAUAGUAAUAGUGUGGGGGAGACUUUGUUGGUGGCGGUGGGGAUUUGUAGUAGUAAGGUGGUGGUGGAGAAUGCACCGGUGGAGGUGGAGACUUGUAGUAGUAUGGUGGUGGUGGAGAUUUAACUGGCGGUGGUGGAGACUUGUACAAAUAUGGUGGUGGUGGGGAAUGCACCGGUGGUGGUGGAGAUUUGUACAAAUAUGGCGGUGGUGGUGAAUGCACCGGUGGUGGUGGAGACUUGUACAGAUAUGGUGGUGGUGGUGAUUUAACUGGAGGUGGUGGAGACUUGUACAAAUAUGGCGGUGGUGGUGAAUGCACCGGUGGUGGUGGGGACUUGUAAAGAUAUGGCGGUGGUGGUGAAGAAUAGAUAUAAGGAUCAGCCGAGACAGCUAUAAGGUUAGCAACACCAAAGACAGUUAAUGCGAUGACUAUAGGCCAUAAAGGGGCCCUGAACAGGACACCGGUGGUAACUCUCAUGGUUCACCGGUAGUUAGAGAGGAUGGGGUUGAGGGAGGGAGGUUAUGUUUUUGGAUGUAAAGCUGAGAGGUAUAAAUAGCAACUAACACCAAAAGAAUAUGUCAGUAAUUUGUAUAUUAAAACACUUGUCAGCGCUUCCAAGGCAACUAGGCCACAUUCUUCUUUUUUUAAGCGCUCGUUUUCAAGUGUUACUCGGACAAUUAUUUGGGUUGACAUUAAAUAUAUUUUAUCUCAAGCUUAGCUUUGAACUAUUCAAUAAACGAGCUUUAUAUAUUUGACUUGUUUUCAUUUCAAUAUGGAGUCACUGCGAAUCAGAAUACACACACCUUAAUGUAGCUCUGUUGGCUUACCUCUAGGUUAGUGGAGUCAAAAGAUAGACCAUGAUUUGAUUUUACAUUGUUUUAAAAAUAAUAUUUAAGGCAUUUAAGGAUUGAGACUACUGUGAAGGUUUGAUCUUCAUAAAGAUACAAAUACCAGAAAAUUUCGAAGGAUAUUGUUUCUGUGUCUAUAUUAAGUAAUUAUCAUAAUUCUUUUGUCUGUUUGCGUUUGUACUGGUGCGUUUAUUUAUAAAUUGAACUUUAUUAAGUGCAUAUACUUUAAAUUGAAAAGGCAUUGUUUGUAUUUAUCAACAUAAACUUACAAACUCGAUUGCUAACAUUCUUACUGUUUACUGUAAUGUUUCUAUUGAAUCUUACAAUCAGAUCUGAAAGUUAAUGAUAAAACCAACUCUAAAACAAAAAAAUGAAAUUAAUGAUUAAUGAAUAAAUAAAUUACCAGUUGCUUAUUUCUCUAAUUCUCUUAGCUAGUGAAUAGUAGACUAAGGCUUAGAGCUAUCCUGGGACUCUUUUCUAAUUUCAACGAGGUUUCUUUUAUAAUUUAGUAGUUUACCCUUCAGUAAUAUAUCAUAUGUUAAAAAAGUUCCAAAAUGUAUAUGAUACAUUUUAUCACGUGGUAAAACUCCAAAACAAAAACGGUAUAAAACAUAUACAUUAGAAAAGUAGGAAAUAAAUAACGUUGUUUCACAUGUCAAAUAUAUAUUUAUAAUAUUAUCUUUCACAUAUAUUUGGAUGCUAAUUAAACAUAAGAAAACUUUUUAAGCUUUAAACGUUAUGAUGCACUGCUGAUAAUACAUCCUUACGGAGACUCCUAUUUUUACUUAUUUAGUUCAAAAGCCUCCUUAUGAUUUAUUCAUUGUUUAUCAUGUAAUCCAAAACAAACACACGUCCUUAUCCUGAUUUCAUUAAUUGUUUAUCAUGUAAUCCUCAUGCCACCUAGGCGACACCGAUACCCGGUUUGUGUGUCGCGUCCAUCCGGGUUCAGGUGCAACUUCACUUGACCUGGACAUAACAUUCCUCUCCACUUCAGAAAGCACCUUGUCCUCAAGGUGGUAAUCCGGAUAAUUAACAACGGUGUUCCCUUCGGCAAUAAUGGUUCCUUAAAAUGGUUGUGGCAGGCGACCCCUCCGGUGAUCGUUGAAGCCAGAAAACAACAACAAAUUGCCGGUGGUUUUUUACAUCAAAUAGAAUUUUUUUACUUUUUUUCAAAAGAAGCGAAAUAUUCAACGGAUUAAUAGUGAAAUGGGUUAAUAUAUGAAUGGGAGAUGGUCAUGGGAGACAUAAUUUCAGUAAGAAAAAAGAGUCAAAAAUCUUAAGUUUACAAAAAGGGUGCAAAUGUGUUUAAUCAAGACCAUCUCAACAAUUUUAUAAAAUAAAUUAAAAUUUUUUUGUAGUAUUAUAUAUUAGCAAUAAUAUUAGAACUAAUAUUAGAGAUAAUAGAUAAACAAAGAAUACGAUUCAAGGGAAACAAAUCUUAUAUGGUAUCAACAAGGAUCGCUUAACCCUAACCGAAAUCCCCCAUUUUCUUCGUCUUUUCAUACUGUUCUUGCUCAUGGCAUCUGCCGAAUCCAACCUCCCUCUAGCAACUAUUCUACAUCUUCUCACCAUCAAGUUAACAUCUUCAAAUUACCUGCUUUGGAAGAAUAAGGUAUGACCUUUAUUAUCUUAUCAGAACUUGCUUGGCUAUGUCGAUGGUUCUUUUCCUUCUCCACCUGCCACUACUAUAGUUGAAGGAAAGUCUUCUCUAAACCCAAAAUAUGGGUCAAUCCAGAUCAAUGAGCUCUAUUAAUUAUAAAGUCCUCUCUCUCAGAAGAAGCCAUAGAAGCUCUCAACCUCACUACCACCCAUGUUAUUUGGCAAUUGCAUGUAAAUGCUUACAACCAUGAUUCCAUCGAGCGUGCUCACACACUUAGUGACUCUCUCGGACAAAUGACCAAAGGUAAUUCUUGUAUUUCUGCUUUUGGUCGAAAAUUUAAAGCUGUGUGUGAUAAAUUGGUUGUUGUUGGUCACCAGGUUGAAGACAUGGACAAAGUACAUCGGUUCUUAUGUGAACUUGGUUAUGCCUUCGAGUUAUUCUCCACUGCUCAUCGAGCAGUCACACCAUGUCCCCUUUUUCGUACUCUUCUCUCGCGUGCAGAAAGUCACGAGCGCUUCCUCAAAUUGAUCGAAAAUCAUGCCUCAAUUGCUAUUGCUGCCUUCACAGCUCAAACUCAACCCUCAUGUAAGGGCUCGUCAAACACUAGCGACCGAGGUUCUCAGUCACGUGAUGUAUUUUCUGGCCGGGGGGGUGAAGGGGGGCGUGGCAGACGUCCUCCUCAUUGUCAACUGUGUCGCAAUAACGAACACUAUGCCUCUUGAUGUACUGAUCUACCAACGUUUCAGCAAAGUUCAACUGUUGAUGCAAACCUUGUUCAUGCUUUUCAAAACAAGUGCAAUACUGCUAGUUCAAAUUUGUAAGUUGAUUCAGGUGCCUCAUCUCACAUACACAUCUUGAUCACUCAUUCUCAUAUGCUGGCAACGAUCAAGUGGUUGUUGGAAAUGGUAAUCUUUUACACAUAACGGGCAUUGGUACUUCUCAUGUCUCCAGAAAUGUCAAAUUAUUUGUGUUGCGUUUUAUUCUAAAGUUAGUUUCAAAGACAUGAUAUUUGGCAACGGAAGACUUAUGAAACAUCCCAACAUUCAAGACCAAAAAUUUUAUUUUUAAUUUAAUAAUUCAUAAAACAGAUUAUGGAAAACAUCAUCGAGUUAUCUCAUUUCAUAAAAACCAUAGAUCAUAUGUCUCAAAAACAUGUCAUAAGAUAAUAAUAAUAAUAAUGUCAGAGUACAAAUCCCAAGAACAUCAUAGUGCGGAAAAUCGUGGUGUGAUGUGCUGCUACCAUGCCAGCUCCUUUCUCUUCGAAGAGGAAGGACCUGAAACAAAAACUGAUAAACCGUAAGCACAAAGCUUAGUGAGUUCUCCCAUCAUACCACGUACCAUACAAUAAACAUAUGGUCUAACAUGUUCGGGUACUGAACUGCCCCUUCGGUCCCUUUCAACCGAUAACUGCCUAGCAUAUCAGGGGUGUUGGCAUACCCCAUCGGUCCUUUCGACCGGUAGCUCGCCUGGCAUAUCAGGCUGCUGGCCUACCCCUUUGGUCAUUUUGACCGGUACCUCACCUAGAAAAUCAGGGUGUUCGUCUACUCCUUCGGUCCUCCCGACUGGUAUCGGGGAGUAUUUCACCCCUAUUUCUACCAUAUAACAUCCUAGUACAUAAACACAUAAGUCAUAUACUACCUAGCAUAUCAGGGUGUUGGCAUACCCCUUCGGUCCUUUCGACAGAUACUGGGGCUAUCCUACCCCUCCUACCACUAUCACAUAAUAUCAUAGCAUACUAGCACAUAAAGCAUAACAGAUAGUGGCAUACCGAAUAAUUUUCACAAAGAGAGUCAUCUCUACUAUAACUCUUACUAGUGGGUUGGCAUUGGUACCUUUGACCCACUUUUAUUGGAAGGUAACUCACCUCAAUUUCUUGAAGUAGCUGAACUGUCCUCGGCUCUAGAAUAAACUCCUCUCAAAAUCCUACACAUAAAAAUCUCCUAGUCAGUGUCAACAUUCUGGUUGACUCAACUCGCCGAGUUGGUCCAUUAACUCGUCAAGUUCCAUGAUCCAUAAAACCUUGAAAACCUUGAUCCAACUCGUUGAGUUCUUUCAUGAACUCUUCGAGUUCCCCUCAUAAUAGAGUCGGGAUAUUACAAUCACAACUCGCCGAGUUCCUCUUUGAACUCGUCGAGUUCUUCAAUUUUCAAAACCCAAAAACUAUGGCCAACUAGUUGAGUCAUCUCCUAGACUCGACGAGUUUGCUCAGUAACAGAAAAGGUGGGGGACCACGAUCCAACUUGCCGAGUUGGAUGAACAACUCAUCGAGUCCCCUUUAGUCUAAAUCCAUUCAGUCACAUCCAAUCGAGUUCAAUUCCUCCAAACCAUAGAUCUGGUCCCCUAGGACUAAGUUACCACGUAAAGUUGCUAACUUUACAUUCAUGCAUGGUGUCAUGAAGCUAGAAACACCAAAACUAAGCUAUAUAAGAGGUUUAGGGAAUGAGGAAUGGCCAAGGCUGGAUAAACCUGGCAACUUUAAGCCUCAUAAGCUCAUGAGUGUCUAGAUUUGAAGUCACAACUUCAUUAUACACUCAAAUCCCGAAAAUGACUUCAAUAUGGCCCAAAAGUGACAACAUACUACCCUAAGUCAAGAUCUAAGUAAUAGAAAGCCAAGGUAUCAACUUUAAACCUCAAAUGAGUCAGAAAUGCCGCUCAAACUCCAGAUCUACUAUCUUCGUCUUGAACCCCCAAGCUUCUCCUUCCUUCUCAAACUUCAAGAUCACAAAGAACACACAACAAUGGCUCAAAAACACUUACAAGUGGAUUACGGUUUCGUGGCUAGGAUUUGGGGUUAUGGAGGCUGCAAAUGAGUCCAACCUUUGGAGGUUAAGGUGUUUAAAUAGGGUGCAAAACACUGAAAAUUAGGGUUUCACUCUGGCAGCCCAACUCGUCAAGUUGAGGCUCUCAACUCGUCGAGUAGACUUCAAGUCCCACGUCCAAAUCCAUUCCUACUCGACAAGUUUGGGGCCUCUAACUCGUCGAGUCCCUUUGAAAAAAUGAAUAAUUAGAUUUAAAAGUACAUACCAUGAUCCGGGAGUUACAAAUUGAUCAUUUUUUUAAUAACAUAAAACAUGUUUAUAACCCACCAUGGAUCAUCGUGCAAGUUGUAGAACGAUUUAAACAAGCAACAAAGAAGAGAUGAAGAAAUCACAAGCUUUCUAGUUCUUUGGAUCCUCUUCGGAGUCUUGGAAGUUGAUGAAGAAUGAUGAACCCUAGAGACACCAACAAGUUGUCAAUUUGAUUUAUGAUGCUAGUCUUGUAAGAAAACUCUUAAUCUCUUAGCUUGAAGUUCAUAACAAAUAUGAACUUCAAGAGAGCAUAAAAAUAAGAAAUUAUUCUUCAACUUCAAACCCAAAACUAGAGAGAAUGGGGAGAGACUAAGAAGUUCGGGAUUUUAGCAUGCAUGAGUGCAAGUGCAAAAUAAAAGCCUUCUUACUUGUCAUAAAGAUGAAACAAUGUGCAUAAGUCCUUAACCAUUUAAGCACUUAUGUCCCCUAGGGCUAGUUGUCUCCCAUGCCUUAAAGAUAACCCAUACUUAUAUAUAAACUAAUUAAAGAGGCCAUGCUUUGACUCGCUCCUCACAGCCUACGGUUUUAGCUGGGAAGAAAAAUAAACACCCCUUUAAAUUAAUAAACUAGCUUUACUAGUUUAUAGAGUAUUGAUUUUAUAAACUCUCUUUUAUAAAAUAGAAACCUUAUCCUUAUGGUAAAAAUUAAGAGUCUUUAUGGUGUAAAAAGUCGUGCAAGACCUAUUAAUUCAUACCAUAUGAAUUAUGUAAUAUUACUUGCUAAUGAAAAUUAUUAUUUCCUAGAAAUAAAUAAUUUCCAAUUUAAUUAUAAGUGUUUAUUGAGUAUUUAUUAAUAUUAAUUUCUAAUAAAUAAUCAAUUGUAUCAAGUUGUUAGUGUCACCCUUUGGUAUCAUUUGUUAAUUAGAAAUGUGUAACAGCCCGUUAUUUCAAGUCAAUAAAACUCUAAACUACAACUAUGUUCAAGUAAAUUCACAAGCUAACUUGCGCCAUAGGGACUUUUAAUGCCUUGAGUGCAUGUUCAUUUAACUUAUAUACAAGUUUAUGUGGAAACCCAUGUUGAAGUAGAAUAGUAUAAGUUUAAUAAUUAACAUAUAAUCACACUAGAUCAAACCAAGCUUACACUAGUUCAAAUAAAGGGGCCAUACUUAACUUAAUUUAAGGAUAUUAAGGGUAUAAAUGUGUUUUCGGGUUUGGGAAUUUAAUCCCAAAACUCAAACCGUAAACACUUGAUUUAAGGUAAAGCAAAUCCGAAAACCCCUAAAGUAGUUGCAAAUCUGAAAACACCCCUAUACUAUUAAGCCUUGACCAUGAACCCUUUUCAUCUCGACUCAAAUCCGAAAACCCUUUUUCCCUUUGACCCAAAUCCGUAAACACUUCUUCCCCUUGACUAUAAGGGGCGAAAACUCAAUAAGGUCCCAAUAUAGAACCGAAAACACAACCCCAUGGACCAUUAUGAACGGUAAAGCACCCCUACAUAUAUUUGUUCGUCCAUGAACCAAUUCAUUUUCUCAACUUUCAUCUGAAAACACUUCCAUUUUGCUCUCAAAUACCAUCAGAAAACACUCUCAAUCUUCAUAGAUUUUGCCUAGAAUCUUCAAAUCUUCAACCAAUUCCUCAAGAACAUUCAAACCCACCUUCAAAUCUUCAUAUGAUCUUCAAAUCUUCAUAUGAUAUUCAAAUCUUCAUAAUAUUCCCAAGAACACCAAGAUCCAACCAAAAACACCACAACCCUAACCGAAAACUCCAAUUGCCAAGUGAAAACACCUUGCAUCAUUUGGAAUUAUUUCCUAAUAAUUUUGUAAGCUCUCCCAUUACAUAAUUAAUUUAUUAUUUAACUAUUAUUUAUAUUAAUAUCUAAUUAAAUUAAAUACGACGUCAAAAAUAAUUAUUUUAGGAUAAUGUUAUUUGCGCGUACGCUUACCCGAGGAUCGUCUCUACAACUCGCUAUUCAAGCUAACGCACAUUUGAGGUGAGUUCAUACCCCUACAUUUUUAAUGUUUUUAAUGUUUUUAGGGGGGGGGGGAUACAAGUAAAACACAAGGACUUUUGUGUUUAUGCAAACAUUUUAAAAUAAUAUUUAAAACCUUUGCAAUUGGUCCAAACUGGGUAUUUGCUCCAUUUCAUAAAAUUAUUCUUAUAUUUUUAACCCUUUUGUAACAUGUCGAGCAUAAGGGUAUUUUACUCUCAUAUAAUUAAAUUGCAAACAUUUUCAGUACAUUACAGAACAUUAUAGUUAAACUAUAAUCGGUAUCCUUUCAGAAUCACUACACCAUUUUACUAAGCACAAUACACAACACAAGAACAUUUAUUCAAACUGUAAUAGGUAUAGUUUGGGAAACACUACUCUAAUACAUUGAACAUAUGUAAAUACAAUAUUUUAUCAAUGUAAUGGCUUUGUUUGCUUUGCUUACUAUUAUACAAUUGUUGUGAUACUAUACAUGUCGUCCUCCGCCUGCGAACGUUUCCGCUGUUCCGGUUUGGGGGUGUGACAGAUUAGUAUCAGAGCAUUGUUUAUAUUGAGCUAUGUAUAUCAAACCUAACAACAUAUACAACUAUAAACACCAUGGGGCCGAAACGCUCUGAACUAAAAGUAUACUUUUAAAAUAUAAGUAUUUUAUAAGAAGUAUACAAGUAUACAUACACACUAGAAGCAGUAUCACAGUAAGAACUACAUAAAAGUAUUUCAGAUGAGUUGGACACUACGAUUAAAUCUGAAUAGUUAUGUAAUCAUAUAUGGAAUAAAUAUAACCUGAUUAACUAGAUUUAUUUGAGAUAAGACCAACAUGUGUUUGGGAGUGAUUGUGGGGUAGCAGCAAGUCUAAAACUUACCAAACUCUAUACAAAGGAAUCAAUAGAACCAAACAGACUGUUAAAAUACUAUAGGAGUAUUUUAUGACACUAUAACAUUAUACAGAUUCAUUACAAGACUAAUUCUCACAAUUGAAAAUAUGCCAUUAAUUGCUUAUUUUAGUAAAACUCUAUUGUCGGUCGCUAAUUUAGCCCAAUAACGUCGGGAUAUGAUGCGUUUAUGUCACACUCCAAAACCGGAAUGGUGGAAACGUUCUGGGGUGGAUGACGUCAUGUCAAGUAUCACAACAUAUACAGUAUAGUAAUCAAAGUACAACAACCAUUGCAUUAAUAGUAAUAGUUUUACAUAGUUUACAUUGCAUAGAAACAUCAAAGUAAUACAAGUAAUAAUAUAGGUGCAGCUUGGUACUAAACUAUCUUCACCAAAAGCUCCUGAGAUAUUCCUGUCUAUUGCUGACCUGAGAAUACAAGUAAUUUGAAAGCGAGUAUCAGCAUUUUUAUAAAUGUUGGUGAGUUCAUAAGUAUUUAGUGUCAUUUUAUUCAAAUAACUUUAUAAAAAGUAGUAGUUUAGAAUCAACAGUGUAUUAGAAUCCUUUCCAGAAAAUCCUAUAUUUUCUAAAUAAAAGUAGUCUUCUACCAAGACCAGACAGUGUUAUGUUUAAAGAGAAUUUCCGUGAAAUAUUAUCAUUACCAAAAUACGGUAUUUGACUUUAAAGAAAGUGAGAGAUUAUUACUAGUAAAAGUACUAAGGGAAAAUAACAUAUGCCUCAGCAGAAGAUACUGCUGACUAAGGCAAAGAAAUCAUAGACUCCAGGAGAGUAUCGAAUGAACUACAUGCCUGGCUCAGUCUAACGAAAGGAGACACAGACCCCAGACGGUAUCAAAUGUAUGAUAUGGCUAGCAAGGUCUAAAACAAAGAAACACAGACCCCAGAUAGUAUCAAAUGAAAGAUACAGCUAGCAAGGUCUAAAAAAGAGUAAUUCUAAGAGUGUGUUUCCAAUAUACAGUGUUAAACAUCGUUACCUUAAGGCCAUGAAUUAUAAGGUAAACAUGGAGAUACUAGUAACCAUACUAAUCGACACUAGAGUACUUGACGCCUUGCAAGCGUCAGUGUGAAUAUGACAUUUGUCACCCCUUGGCUUGGUAGGCCGUGGACUGUAGCUAGCAGUCAGGGUGCGGGGGUGUCAAUCCCGUAUACAUCUAUACACACAAUGUCCGCUCUCCCUACAAGAGACUCUGGUUACCAACUCGACGACGGGGAGAUCCGUGUCUUGAAGAUGUAUCUCGAACAGUGAAUUCUGAUGUAAGUGCUGGACUAGGAAUAGAGACUCAUAACUGAACCGAUCGAUGUAAACCUAUAUGUCUAUACAUGUAUACAUAAUAUACAACUAAUGUUCAAACGACCUUCGGAUAGAUAUCUGAUCCCACCAGACCACAUCCCAACGUGGAAAUGGAAAUAGGGCGAACUAGCCUUCCUAAGUCCUUUAAACAUUAUUUAUAUAACUAUACAAGUACAGGCAUACAUUUAACUAAGUAGAAACAUUUAACGAAGUUCAAGUGUUUAACGAAGUAUAAGUGUUUCACGAAGUAGAAGCGUUAGCAAGUAGAAGUGUUUCGCGAAGUAGAAGCGUUAACAAGUAGAAGCGUAUCACGAAGUAGAAGCGUUAAUAAGUAGAAGCGUAUCACGAAGUAAAAGCGUUAACAAAGUAGAAGCGUUAGCAAGUAGAAGUGUUUUGCGAAGUAGAAGCGUAUCAUGAAGUAGAAGCGUUAAUAAGUAGAAGCGUAUCACGAAGUAAAAGCGUUAACAAAGUAGAAGCGUUAGCAAGUAGAAGUGUUUUGCGAAGUAGAAGCGUAUCAUGAAGUAGAAGCGUUAAUAAGUAGAAGCGUAUCACGAAGUAAAAGCGUUAAUAAGUAGAAGCGUAUCACGAAGUAGAAGCGUAUCACGAAGUAAAAGCGUUAAUAAGUAGAAGCGUAUCACGAAGUAAAAGCGUUAACAAAGUAGUAGCAUUUAACUAAGUAGGAGCAUUAACUAAGUAGAAGUAUAACGAAGCAGUAGUAUCUAACAAAGUAGGAGUAUAAAAACAUGGAAGAAAACUUUGAUGAAAACUUUGGAAAACCUUUACACAUAAGAAAAUCACGACUUGGUAUUCUUUUGUAAAAUAAGUUUGAAAACCUUUAGAAAUCCUUUCAAAACCUUUCAUAAACAAGUUUUAAAUGAAACUUUGAUAAAACAUUAUGGGUAAAGAAUACCUUUGUUUAAAAUACUACUGUCACUGAAUCGGAAGAAAAACAUACAGCGCGAGAGUCCAUUUGAGAAAAUAUUUGAACAAGUAAAGACGUUUUGGAAAAAGAAACCCUUUUACAGUAUCAUACUCGGUAAAACAGUUGACAGGGUAAUAAAUCCUUGUGCAUGUGGGUUAUCAAUCACAUGUGAUUGAUAUGAUAACUGGCAUGUUUUAACUUGUAUUCCCCCCCCCCUAAAGCAUGUAAAAACAUUUAAAAGGUUAAUUCAGGGGUAUGAACUCUCCUGUUGUAAGUGGAUCGAACGAAGGUGCCUGCUGGGUGCUCUGUGUCAGGUAAAGACUUGCACACACUUAGUGACCUAUUAACAUAUGAUGACAUACGUUUUAAUACAAUUAGUAAAUAUAAUACUAAUUAAACACAUAUACGCAUCCUAAAGUGCGGAAAACACUUUGGUUAAGUGCUAGGAGUGUCCCGGGUAACAUCCAAGGGUGUGUAUGGCCUAGAUAGGGAGUUUACUCUUCAAGAGUAAACUCUUUAUAGAUCUUACAUCCCUAAGACCAUAUCCCCAUGAUUUUAUGGCCAUAAACUCAUGGUGGGGGUGUUCUAGGAUGUUAAAUGCUCUUAUCUCACUCAUAGAAUUAGGCUAGGUCCAAAUAUAAGGCAUAUGAAUGGGUUUAAGGCAACAAAUGGACCAUUUAAGGAGUUAACGGCCCUAAACAAGGAGUUUACGGCCGUAAAAUCUCACUUGGUCAUUUCCUUCAUACAUCUAAGCUUUAAAUGAUAGAGUAUAAAGUUCUAAGCAUUAUUCCAAGUCAAAUGGGGGUGAUAAGGCAUCAUUUGGCCACCUUUUGGGAGUUUACGGCCCAUGGACCAAUUCUAGGGGGGUUUACAGCCGUAAACUCCUAUUUCAUUGGUUUAAUUGAUGUUUAAUGUGUUUACUAUAAUGGGGGUUGCUUCUAGACAUUUUCCAAGGCCAUAGGAGGUGUUUAAGGGCAUUUCUAACACCUUAAAAGGUGUUCACGGCCUAUGAAGAGGGGUUUACGGUCCUAGAGUGUUCUUGGGCUGUAAACUCAUGUUUACUCUCCAUAUCAUAAGGUUUUGGUGUUCUAAGCUCGAAGGUGUAAGUCCACAAGUCAUAUCUAAGCCCUAGGGGUACAUUAGAGGGGUUUUGGGGCUUAAAAACCCCACUUAAGGGUGUUCACGGUCCAAGAGUGCUCUUGGGCCGUAAACACAUAAUCUUGCCCCUAUUUGACAUCUUAAACACGAAUUUGUAUGUUAAAUAAGCUACACAACAAGUUAGGAUAGAUGACUUACUAGUUUGGGGCUCGGAAUGGGCGUUUUUGGCUCGAAAACAAGUUGUAGAGAAAGAGUGUAGAGAGAGGGUGAAAAGGUUUCUAUGGAGUCCACGCACCCUUAUAUAGGGGUUUGAGUAGAGGCUCAGUGGAAAUCUACCCGAUACUGACGUUAUACGGGGCUUUUGGUCGCACCCGAUUAAGUGGUCGUAUUUUGACUUGGUUGAAACUAAAACUGUUCAAAGGUUUAAUGAGGGUGUUUCUAAUUUGUUUCAACCCUUACCAAAUAAUUAUAAAAUUCCCAAAUUAAUUAACCAGUCCAAAAGGUUAACGAACAGUUUAUUAAAGCGAGGCUUAUUAACGGAAGAAGGGGUGAAAAAUGACGGAAUGAAUUUCGGGUUGUCACAUCAUCCCCCCGUUAGAGGGAAUUUCGUCCCGAAAUUCAAGUUUAGGCAAGGAAGUAAUCAUGAACAAUCGGGUAGAGGUAUGAGGGCACUUCCUAUUUGGUUGGUCAUCACGCUCCCAAGUGAACUCUGGCCUUUUCUUGGCGUUCUAACAAACCUUCACUUACGGGAUGCAGAUUCCGUCUCGUGCAGUUAGCGAUUCCUACUGGUUCGUCUACAAAGUUAGGGUUCCCAAUGGUUUCUAUCAAGACGAGUGCGAUACAAAGAGUGACGUCGGGCACACACUUAUCAAGUCUAAGAAGUGGAUCGAUUCGGGGUGAAACUUAUGGAGUUUCCGAAAGUAGUAGUGGUCUGACGAGGGUUGGACCAAUUUUUGUGAGGAAUCUCGGAUGGUCCUAAGCUAUCGGGAGGGUAGAGCCUUUCAACACUUAGAAUAUAGUGUACUUCUAUGGCGAGAUCAUCACUGGCGUGAUCAGCAUUUUGAGGUUCCAACGUUCUCUCUCAUACUGGAAGUGUAGUCCUUCAGGUUGGUUCUUAAAAGUUCGGGUUGUCCUUGGAUUCGUGUUCCUGUUGAUUGGCUCUCCGAGGUUUUCUAGAUCAUCGGAUGGAUUGCGUGUCUACGGGUAUCUGUUUGUUGCAGAGUGUCUAUCUCAGUCUUGUGCAAAAUGAUCUUGCACUCCUGAUUCUUGAGAUAUUUCUAACGGAAACCCUCAGGGUCGGGUAGAUAGGGUUUCAACAGACGAGUGUUGGACUAUCUCGGGAGGUGGUUCUACUAUUUCUGUGCGAGAUAGUAUUCGUGGAACACCUAAUAGUCCAAUGAAUCUCUAAGACCUGUCCUAUUCUCCAAUGCAUUGGUUUAUUUCAGUUGCAGAAAGCGCGUGCUCUUGUAUAACCCAUCGACUAACACCUAGACUGGUGUCAAGUCUAUAAUCCCUUCGGGAUCUGGGUUAUAAGGCUUAACACAACCUAAUUUCGCACUUUAUUCAUGUAUUCUUGGCUGCAGAGGUUAUCUUGUGGUUCUUGGCAUUCUAGUGUUCACUUCGGAGAAUGCGGUCCAUCGUCUACAGGGCGACGGUGAUUUCCUCCACGCGAGAAGGCAGAGUGUCCUAGGCACUACUUGUCGGUAACGGGGUGGACGAAGUGCCUGAGUAGUGCGAACAUCUUCUGCAACUACUCUUCCGAAGGUUCCGAGUUUUCUCGAUCUAGGUCAAAUCUAGUGAGUAUAGGGUUCCAUCACUCGGAACUUUAAUCUACUCAUCCACUCUUCUCAGAGUUUAACUUAUCGUAGCUUCCAGGGUUCCGGGAUAUCUACUGAGAUGCUUACUGUGACAUCCCCAAAAUCUCGGCCAGAAAAGACUGAUUUUUCAUUUAUGCUUUUAAAUAAUUUCAGAGUAAAUCCUUUUGAUUUGAAAGAGUUGCGGAAUUUGUUCCCAAAAGAAAACAUGAUAAAAUAACAUUUAUCAAAGCAUUUCAUCAAGAGAUGCAUUUUCAUUAUAUAAUCAAAACUCGGGAUGUCAUGUUCCGAUACAGACCAUAAAGCAUAAACGAUAAACAUUACAAGUCAUUCAACAAAUAUAUACAUAUACAUACUUGUAAACAAAACAACAAGAUGAUCCAUCCAUCUUACGCCCUUGUGCCACUUCCUGUAAUACAAAUAAAACUGAGUGGGUCAGGCUUGGGAGCCUGGUGAGCAUAUAGGGUUUUCAACCCACAAUAAAUAAGUUAUAUUUAAUUUCACCAACCAAUCACUAUCCCGAUUACCCAUUCCCGUUAUCCUCACUUUACGUCCCUAAAACAACAACUAUCUCAAGGGACCUAAUCUAGGAUUUUCAUCGGGACGGACAUCACUGCGAAGGGGUUUCCUCAACAAUAGAUAUCCUAAAGGCAACCAUGAGGGGGAUAGAGUACACCGGUGAACACAUCGUUCACAACACCUACAGGUUAUGAACCUGCUAGCGUUCCACUGGACUGUCUAGAAAGAGUCCGUGGUCGUUAUCCAUACUCCGCUGAAUAACUAGAUCAACAACAACAACAACAUCGAGGCCUCUCAUCUGUUUAUUACACACCAACUAUCUACCCAUGUUCUACCCAACAUAUUAGUAGAUAAAAAUAUAUAUUUUCAUACGUAGUUUAAAGAAAACCUGUAUAGCAUGCUUUAAUCAACACAUAUGUCACAUAACAGAUGAGGCACACACACAUAACACAUAUCUCAUAAAGAAAUAAGCAGAUCUAUAAGAUAGAAGAGAGUGAAUACUCAUUCACACAUAACACAACCAAAUAUAUACACAUAGCACGUAUUUUUAUAUAAAAUACUUCGUAUUAUUGUAUUAGAAGAAAUAACUACACACUCACUUGAUCAGAAGACGAUCCGACAGCACUACGGCUUAUAGAAGUAGUAAUCCACAGCAGAUCUGGAAGAUCUCCUCGAAAAUCGAACUUCUCGCGGGCAGAGCUUCGACUCGGGAACCGCGCUUCUCGGGAUCUUCGGGAUCUCGGGACUUGCCUCGGGGCUAGAGUAUGAUACCGGGGCUUCGGGGUAUUUCUGGCACGCAAAACGAUGCAAAACGGGAGAGAGAAGAGAAGAAAUUGGCAAAAUAGCCGGCUGCCUUCGGAUCCCUUUUAUAGAGGCUGGAGCCUCGGAGUACGCGGGGCGUACUGCAGUACGCAGCGCGUACUGCUUCCGAAAUCGUCACUGCAUGCGUCAUCCGAAGUGUCGACACUCUCGGAGUACGCGGGGCGUACGUCGGAUCGGACUGGUGACUCCCCCUUCGGAUAAUGCCGGAUUUUUGAUUUAAAAAUAAAUACAAUUUAUUUAUCAAACUUCGGAAAUUCAUAUCUUCUUCAUACGAACUCCGUUUUCGACGUUCUUUAUAUCCACGGAAAGGUGAGACUACGCUCUACAACUUUCGUUUAGACUCCGUCGGCUAAUUUUGACUUUAUUUUUAUUAUUUAUUUUUAAUAGGCCGCGACAGAAAAACUUCGUUAUAAAUUCAUAACUUCUUCGUUUGACGUCCGUUCUCGCCUAACUUUUUAUCGCUUCGAUACCAACAAUGAGAUCUUCGAUUCUCAUUUAGAUUGCUUCGGCUAAAAACCGCUCGAUCUCAAUUCGAGUAUUUCAGGCUGCACACCGCUAAGUCGAAACUUCGAUAAAUCAUAACUUCCUCAUACGAAGUCAGAUUUGGGCGUUCUAUAUAUAUUCGGAAACCUCGUUUCAACUACUAGAACAUUAACCAAAGAUAUUAAGUUUAUUUUACACUUAAAUUUUGACGCUUAUUUUUAUUCUUAAUUAAUUAGACCACAUAAUUAAGCAAUUAAGCACAAAACACAUAAUACUCAAAUAAUACAUUCUUAUUAUUUCAAAAUGGGUUACAAAGGUCAACCUAGACUAUUACAUUGCUAAAAAUGGCAAGCCCGGACACACAGGCGUUACAAUUCUCUCUACCUUAGAAUGAUUCCGUCCCCGGAAUCACACAUCAACAAACAAAUGCGGAUAACGACCCAUCAUGUCACUCUCCGUCUCCCAACUGAGAUUCGGCCCAUUCGUGUGUUUCCAUCGGACAAACACCAACCCAACCAUCUUGCGUCGCAAUUUCUUAGUCUUUCGGUCAACAAUUUCCUCUGGUUCCUCAAUCAACCUUUUGUUUUCUUCAAUUCUCAAUUCAGAGAUUGGAAUUAUGUCGGGAACUUCCUCCGUGAACUUUCGGCAUACAACACUUCUGUCCAUACAAAGCUUGGUANNNNNNNNNNNNNNNNNNNNNNNNNNNNNNNNNNNNNNNNNNNNNNNNNNNNNNNNNNNNNNNNNNNNNNNNNNNNNNNNNNNNNNNNNNNNNNNNNNNNUUGGCACUAGGUACGGAAACAACUUCAUCUUCUCAGUAAAUGCAACAACAUAGUCAUCUAUGCUCAUCUUCCCCUUCUUUAGGUUUUGAAACUCAUUGUUCAGAUCAAUCAGAUCCAUCUUUGAACAAUAUUGCACCCUUAGUUGUUCCAAGAACUCCUCCCAUGACAUUUUCAGGGCUUCUCCUCGUGGCAUAGUAUCUGCCAACAACUUCCACCAACUCAAGACUCCAGUCUUCAGUUGUCUAACCGCAAAGACGGUCUUCUGUUUGUUGCUACAGUCGCAACUUUCAAAUACCAUCUCCAUUUCGGAGAUCCAAUCCAUUAUCUCAACAGGCUUUGGGCUCCCAGAAAGACUUGGCGGUUUGGCGCCCAAGAAAUUCUUGUACAUACGCCCAUCCUUGUUGUUUCUCCUUUCCGGAUCGUUCCUUCGUUCCCCUUGAGUCCCAACUUGACUCAUCAUGCGACUAUUGUUCCCUUCCUCCGAUUGCUCGGGAAUCAAUUCAGGUUCCUCAAUAGGUAUGAUAGGUUCAUCCCUAUUAUUAUGCAACAUUUGUCGCAUCUCCUCCCUUUGUUCGGCUAGCAUAGCCCGAAUCAUGGCUUGCACCGCAGCCAUUGUUAUUGGUUCUGGUGCUGCUGCUACAACAGGUAUCUGCUCAAUCACUGGCGGUUGAUUCCUGUUUUCAUCCGCGUUUCCAACACCACUCCUCGUUCUCACCAUUUUUUAUCUACACACCGAAUAAUUUCACCUUAUUACUCCAAACGAUUACAUGCUAGUUCUAAUAUCGUAUACAUACGCUUAGAAUCCUAAACACAUAAACCUUCAGAUCCGGUUGGCAACAAACCGUAGAUCCGAACAAAUAAUAUCAUAUAUGGCAACAUAUAACAUUUAGCACAUAAAAGCAUUUUAGGCAACUUUCCUAAAAUAAACUAGUGCUCGUGUCUAAAAUCCAAC
rnacentral:lncRNA from 1 species